GUAUGGUUGGCGUUGUCGCACUUCAGUUGGUUAGUUUGACUUUUUAGAGAUUAAACCUCGAGGUAAGAGCUUGAUUUAUGAGUCUUUAGAUAUAGUUUGGGUCAUUAAGGAUAGACUUAGAGCGGAUUAGAGUAAGUAGAAAUAUUAUGCAGAUAGUAGACUUUGUGUCUUGAGUUUUAGUGUUGGUGAUUGUGUCUUCCUUCUAUUUUACCUAUGAAUGACAUGAUAAGAAUUGGGAAUAGGGAAAAGCUUAGCUCGAGGUAUAUUGGACCUUUUGAAUUCCUUUAGACUAUUGGGGAUGUGGCUUAUGAGUUCGCAUUACCUCUAGAUUUAUAAGCUAUUCAUCCAGUUUUUCAUGUUUCUAUACUUUAGUGUUACAUUCUAGAUUAUUCUUAUGUAAUUCAUUAGGAUUCAGUACAGUUGGAUGGGCGAUUAUUAUUUAAGGAGCUUAUCUCCAUUCUAACUAUGGAUGUUAGACAGUUGUAUUAUAAGGUUAUUUAUUUAUUUAAGAUCCAAUGAAGGCAUUAAACAGUAGAUAAUUCUACUUAUGAAGUCGAGUUUGAUAUGCAUAGUAGUUAUCCCUAACUUUCUUCUUAUUUGGGUAUUUCUGUAGUCCAUAGUUUGAGGAAGAACUAGAUUUUUAGUGGUAGAUGAUGUAAUGAUUUGAUUUUUUGUGAUUUUUGUAAAAUAUUCACUUUUGUAUGAUUUGACAAUUUUACCCAUCCCUGUGGUUGCUUUUUGGUAUUUCAGAUGUAUAGGGAUGAUUGGCAUGGUUUCCGAUGUAUUUCAGUGUGAUUUGUACAAGUUUGUAGUUUUUGGUGGCUUAAAAAGCCUUAGAGAUGACUUCGGUCAACAUUUAUUGAUUUAUCCAUCAGAUGGGAAAAUGGACUAUGCCAGCAGAUCAAGAACAUCAAUUUUAGGUUGGUAACAUAGUUGGUGUGGUUUUACAAUUUUAUAUCUCAUUUCGAUCCUCAGUUUUGAAAGUUACAAAAUUAGGUUUUGGGGGUAUUUUGUAACAAACAUUUUUUGAAAAUAUGAUAUUGUCAUUGAGUUAGCAGCAUCGAAUUAGUAGGAUAGCAUAGUUUAUUUAUGUACUCAGGAUUUUGGAUGAAUCUCGAGGGGUUCGUGGAGUCAUGGAAUUCUCAAAACAUCCAGCUGGUGCACUACUCUGUUGGUGCACUUACUUAAGCAAUGCUUUGGCUGCUUAAGUGACUUGGCCCAAUAGCUAAAGUGUCGCCUAAGCAACACCAGGCCCACUUAAGCAAUUGCCUGGUCGCUUAAGAGACACUAACAAGCCAAAAACCUACCGCUUAAGCAAUACUAAAGUCACUUAUGUGACAAGGAAGGCUUUACUUAUAUGAUGCCUAGUCUCUUAUGUGAUAGCUACUUAAGCGACCCGGUAGUCGCUUAGGUGAUGUUUGGGUAGAUUACAACCCCAUUUUUGAGAUUUUUACACCAUUUUCAAGACUUAGAUCUGGGGUUUGAGUUUUUGAUCAUUUUCUUCAAUUUCUAAGCUUGGAUAAGAUCCAAAUCCCUAUUUUAAUUAUUUUCCUUUGCAUUUUAUCAUCUAAAUCUUGUUUAAGCUCAGAUCAAAAGUUGGAAUUUUGGAAUUUUGUACUAGAAGGCCCAAGUUACCAAUUCUUUGAUUCAAACCCAAAUUUCAACCCAUUUUCCCUUGUGUUUUCCCCUAUGAUUUCAUUUAAUCUUGGGAAAUAUAUUUUUGGAUUGACAUUUUGGUUUUACCCUUUUUUUCAAAAAUCCAUUUCGAGGGUUCAUUUUGACCCUAAUUAGAAAAGGGCAAUAUGGUUAUCAUUUACUUUCAUUUGAUCUAGAGAUUCAAUAUUUAUGUGUGUUAGCUACUUUUAACCUCGUGUGUAAGGUAAAAGCUCGGUGUUAAAGGAUUAUUAUACUUGUAUUAGCAUUCGAGGUAGGUUAUGGCUUAAUUUUCUUUAAAUUUGAUUGGGUAGUUAAUAAUAAUGUGAAAACAUGCUAUGGGUAUGGGCUUGUAUCAUGGAAAAUAUUUAUAUUUGAUUUAUGUGCACAUGUGGGACCUAUGUUGUUGAUAUGUGGUUGUUUUGAGAUAUUAUUUGUUAUGUGUGGCAUCAUGACGUCUUAUAUGGUGUUGUUGGCCUAGUAUUUAUAUAAAUACAUAUGUGUGUGUGUGUGUUUGGUUGUAAUUCCUUUGGUGGAAAAAUCCUAAAUUUUGGGAUUCAUGUGGAAUCAAUGGCAUUUUACUAGUAUGUUUCACUUAAUGGUUUUUGGAUUAUAUUGGAUUUUGGAUGGUUGAAUGAUUUAUGUAGAUUUUUUUGCUCAGAUGGCUGGUAUAUUGAUUGGAUAUUAUAAAUUCUCAUUUUUGUUGGUUAUGAGCAUUACACCUCAUAUCAUAUUCAAUCAUGAAACAUUGGUACCACCGUUGAAAUACUAAAAAUAUUUGAAACACUAACUUUUUCUGACAAAAAAUAUGACAUCUUUAAUAGCCCUCUACCGAUGUUUGUGCCAAAGAGGAGUAUGGAUAUUGGUAUUUGAUAUUUGUUGUAUACCAAUUGACGAACCCUCCAUUGGUCCUACCUGGGAGCAUAGCUUAAUAAUUAUAGGUUGACGAACCUCCCAUGGGUCUUACACCUACAGCUCAACUCGGUAGGUGUAUAUGGAGGUUGUAUAACAACCUCGUGCAUCAUCAUCUUCUUCAUUGCAUUACAUAUACUGUGCUUAUCCCAUGAUUGUGUUUCCUGUUCUUGACUUGAUAUCUGUCCUUUUGUUCUAUCUUCUUAUACUUAUAUUUGGAGUAUGUGUAUAUUUAUUCUUAUUUCCCUACCUAUAUUUGUUAUAUGUAUAUAGAAUAGAAUUGUUAGUGGAGAUUGUGUAGGCUACUAUUUUGGACUUUUUUUUAUUGCAGGUGACGUGGCCAUAGUUUGUGUUUAUAUGUUUUAUUUUCUACUUUACUUAGUCGGUCUAUGAUACCUACUAAGUAUAAAUGGAUUGUACUCAUCCCUACUGCACCCUUUUGGUGCAGAUCCAAGUACGAGUGCACUGUAUGGAUAGAUGAUUCAAGAGGCAUUUGGAGUCUAUUCAAGGUAGCAGUUGAUCUAUGCAUCUGGAGUUGGCUACUACCUUUUCUUGUUUAGAACAUGUCUUAUUUUUAUUCAUAGCCAGAGUUAUUCCUUUCGGGAUAUCCUAUGCAUAUUUUGACGUCAAGUUAUAUUAAUUGGUUCUUACAUUGUGACAACAAAUUUUGGAUUUUGUUUUUUAUCUUUGAUUAUAUUUCUGCUAUUAUCAUGUUUUGUGGCUCGACUUUACUUUAAAAUCCUUGUCUUGGGUUUUGGUAUUGAUUUCUCUUGUCUUAUUAGUUUGGGUGAUAGUCUUAUAGGUCAAGGCUUGCCGCGAUGAGUGCUAUCAUUACCGUUGGUUUUUAGGUCAUGAGAAAUGAGUUAAAAUUGUGAGAUAAUGAAUUAGAUGUCGAUUAAAGUCUCAUCAAGUGUUCAGUUCGUGACUUAUUUCUUUACUUUAAAAUGAAAGAUAGAAAUAAAAAAAUAAAAAUACAAGUGAAAGAUCCUAUUUAUGCAGUUUUUCUGGAAUCUUGACUUGAAUCUUCAUGACCUCUAAUGUUGUGGGAUAAUCUUUAUUUUGAGUUAAACUUGAAAAAUAAAUUUUCCUCCAUGACGACUCUUGGUAUUGGAGAGGAACUUGAAAAUUGACUGCAUUCUUCAGGUGGUCACUUGAUACUUCUGACAUUGAAACUAAGAAUCACCCAGUUUUUCAUGUGGGCUCCUAAAUUUGAACUAAAAUUAUUGAUCCUAUUAUCCAGAUGGGUUACUGAACUUGAAAUAAAGAUUGAUACUAUUCUCCAGGCAGGCUUUCUAAGUAUCAAAACUAUAAGUAAUUCUUGUUCUUCGAACGAGUUCCUAAAUCAAAAUAAAGAGUAAACUAGAACAGUAAAUCCUAUUUUUCAGGAGGGUCUUGUGCAAAAAAUUAAAGUCCCAUUUUUCAUGAAGGUCCUAAAGAGAAAAAUAAAAUCCCAUUCUUAGAAGGGUCUUACUAAUCAAAAUUCCACUUUUCAGGAGUGUCCUAAAUAGCAAAAUAAUAUCCCAUUUUCCAAAAGUGUCAUGAACAUAAAAUUAAAGUUCCAUUAUCUAGUAACAUUAACAUUAAAAGACAUAGAAAAAGACAUUAAAAUCCCAUUUUCCUCAUGUCAGUAACAUUAAAACACAUAGAAAAAGAUCUUGUCCAACCAAGAAGAAAUGUCUGUGGAAAUAAAAAAUCAGCAGCUAGCAUAGAAGAAUUUUGAGACAUAGUUGGGGAAGCUAGAUCAAGCAAAAAAUACAAGACCUCCAGGGGAUUUUCCUAGUGAUACUGAAAAUCCAGAGCAAGUAAUAUGAUCACCUUACGAAGUGGUAGAGACUUGAUUGAUAGACCUCCAAAGAAAAAUUAGGAGAUACCAGUAGAGGUAGUCCCAUAAAAAGUAGAUGCAAAGCAAUGAAAGACCAAAGAAGCUAAAAAUUUGGGAAAGUUUGAGAACCCAAAAACAAAGGCAGUUGAGCAUACACAAGAGAGACCCCUACCACCAUUCCCUCAAAAGAUGGAAAAGGCUAAAGAGGAUGUUUUUUUUAAGAAGUUCUUUGACACAUUUAGAUAACUUCACAUUAAACUUCCUCUAUUAGAUAUUUUUUUCAGGGAAUGGAAAAGUACAUUAAGUGCUUGAAGAAUGUAGUGACAAAUAAGACAAAUUUAGGUGGUUGAGAUGGUGGUACUUAUAGAGGAGUGUUGCUCAAUUAUGAUGUGCGAGAUUCCUAUGAAGCUUGAGGACCCAGGGAGUUCUGCCCUCCCCAUAUAAAUUGGUAAAAGUGAUGUGGUUUGUCCUUUGCGUGAUUUGGGGGAGAUCAUAAAUUUGAUUCCCCUAUCAGUAUUCAUUCUCUUAGUUUUUGAAAAUGGAGACCAUGUUUAAUGGUGCUCCAAAAGGCAGAUAUCAAAUAAGUAGUACUCAACAAAAUCAUAGAGGAUGUUAUUAAAAUUGGUACAUUCAUUAUUCUUGCUGACUUUAAUAUUCUUGAUUAUGAUGUAGAUGACAGGAUGUUGAUCAUGAUAGAAUGUCCAUUCUUGCCAACUGGAGGAGCACUUAUUGAUAUGAAAGAGGGCACUCUAAAAAUAAGAUUGACUCAUAAAGAGGUGGUCUUUAGAGUGUAAUGACUUAAUUUUUAGUUAUUUUGUGAUUAUUUAUUUCUAUGUUAUUGGACUAUUUCACCCUUCCAUGUGGCUAUUUUAUUGUAUUUUUAGGGUGCGGCGAUGAUUGGUAUCGUUCCUAAUAAAUUUCAAUGUGGUUUGUGCAAGUUUGUAGUUUUUGGUGGUUUAAAAGGCUUCUUAGUUGACCUUGGUCAACAUUUAUUGAUCUAUGCAUUUGAUGGCAAAACGGACUACAUUAAGAGAUCUGGAAUGUUGAUUUUACGUUGGUAACAUAGUUGGUGUGGUUUUAUAACAUUUGUAUCUCAUUUUAACCCUCAAAUUAGGAAGAUGUGAAUUUCUUUGGGGAGGUCAACUUUUUGACAAUGACAUUUUCUCAAAAAUUUGAUAUCGCCAUUAAAUAUGAAAUAUCAAAUAUAGUCUAGUAUCAUUGUUCAUUUGUGUUCUUUGGAUUUCAAACUAAUCCUAGGGGUAUGCGGAGAAUUAGAAUUCUCUAAGUAUCUAGCCGAUGCACCACUCAACUGGUGCAUCCGCUUAAGCAACAUUUGGUCAUUUAAGCGACCUAGCAUCUAGCUGAGGGUAUAUCUUAAGUGACUCACCCAUUGCUAAAGUGACUAUUGCUUAAGAGACAAUAAGUAUCUUACACAACACUUGUAUGCCAGGUGGGUUUCACAAAAGGGACACCUAAUUGCUUAAGCUAUAGCUGCUAAUCCACCCGUUGUUUACUUAAGUGAUGCCUGGGUGUGUAUUAUACCCUUUUUGUGACUUUUUCACUAUUUUCUACACUUGGAGCUUAGGGUUUUAUGUUUUUGGGAAAUUUCUUCCAUCGUCAAGCUUGGUUAAGCUCAAAAUCCCUAUUUCAAUUAUUAUUCUUUGCUUUCUGUCAAUUAAAUUUUGUUAAAACUUGAACUCAAAAGUGAAAUUUGUGGGAUUUUGGCUCGAAAGAUCUAAAUGAGUAAUUCUUCAAUUUAAACUCUAAUCUCAACCUAUUUUUACUUUGGUUUUCUUCUAUGAAUUUCUUUAGUCAUGGCUAAUAUAUUUUUUGACUAAAUUUUAGUUUUACCCUUCUUUUAGGAAAAUCCAUUUUGGGAUCCACUUUGACCCUAACCCAAAAAUGGGUACUAGGGGUAUCAUUGGCUUUCUUUAAUGCAUAAAUUCUAUAUUUGUAUGCUUUAGUCAAUUUUGGAUCCAUUCAUGGGGAGAAAUCUCUAUGUUGAGGAUUUUGGUCUAAUUUUUGGUAUUCAAAGUAGGAUAUGGCUUAACUUUCUUCAGACUAGGCUGGGUAGUUAUUAUUGGUCUAAAAUCAUGUUAUAGAUAUGGGAACUAAUCGUAAAAAUGACUUUAUUAUUGUUUUGUGCCCAUGUAGGGGCCUAUGCUGUUGUUGUUUGAUAGUUUUGAGACAUUAUUGGCUAUGUGUGACCAUGUGGAGUUUUAUAUGAUAUUGUUGGCCUUGUUUAUGCAAAUUGGUAGCAUCUUUUCAGGUGAAAAAGCCUAAUUUGGAAUUUAUGUAAUAUCAAUAGCAUAUUUUUGUACAUUUUAUUCUACUGCCAUAUGGAUUAUAUUGAAUUCAUUUAUGGUUGGCAUAUUGAGGGGAAUUUGGCUAACAUUAUUGUAAUGUUGGUUGUAUUUCAAAAUUUUCAUUCCAGCUAGUUUUGAGUUUUACAUUCUUAUAUCAUAUACAUUUAUGAAACAUUGGUACUAGUGUGGAAAUACUAGAAAUACUGGCUUUUUUGAUAGAAAAUAUGACAUCUUUAAAACCCAUUUAUUGAUGUAUCUGCAAGAGAGAAGUCUUGAUAUUGUAUUGGUAUUAGAUAUUAUAUUAUAUAUAGGUUGACGUACCCCCCAUAGGUCCUACCUUAGUAGAAUAGCUUAGUAGAUGUAUACAGAGAUUUUACGACAAACUCAUGCAUUACAUCAUCAUCUUCUUCUUCUUCAUUGCAUUCCAUACGUUUUUACAUUCUAUGUUGUAUUCACAUUCUUAAUGUGAUAUCUAUAUAUUUAUGUUUAUUUUUUGUACUUGUUUUUUGGUAUAUGUUUAUAAUAUAGAACUAUUAGUAGAGACGGUAUGAGCAAUCAUUUGGGAUAUUUUAUUAUGGUAGGUAACAUAUUCAUAGUGUGUAUUUUAUAUGCUUUAUUUUCUACUUUACUCAUUUGGCCUAUGAUCCUACUGAGUGCAAGUGGACUUUACUCAUCCUUAUUAUGCCUUUUUGGUGUAGAUCCAUGUACAAGUGCACCACAUAGUGCUAAUUCGGGCAGUGCUUGGAGUAUUUUUUAUGUAGCAGUUGGUCUAUGCUUUUGGAGUUGAUAUACUAGCUUUCUUAUCUAGUUCAUGUCUUGUUUUGUAUUAAAAGAUAGAUUAAGUUUCUUUUUAAACUAUUAUUUUAUUUUGAUUUUGAGAUGUACUUGGUUGGUUCUUACAUUGUGACAUCAAAUUUUGGGAAAUUAAUGGUAUCUUUUUAAUGUUCUACUAUUAUGGUAUAUGUGUGGUUUGCUUAAUUUUACAAGCCUUACCUUUGGAUUUGGCAUUGUUUUCUCAUUUUAUACCAGUUUGGGUAAUAGGCUUACAUAUCAAGAUUUUUCAUGAUAAGUGUCACUAUGACCCUUGGAUUUUAAGUCAUGACAAAUUAGUAGCAACCAGUUUCAUCGAUCUCAUCAGUGUAAGAAUAGAAUGCCUAGUGGAGUCUCAUGGAUUGGUAUGUAGACGUCCAUAUCUAUCCUUAAGUGGCUAUCGUAGGAAACUUUUCUUACUUUAUUCAUUAUCAUUAGGAUUCUUUCAUGCGUUGUCUUCUAAAGAAUAUUUCACUCUUUUCUACAUAUAUGGUGAGGACUGGAUUGAGUGAGGUUAGAGAUAUUAAUCUAUCAUUUGAGAAGAGAGAUCAAUAUAGAAAGUGAGUUGGAAACCAUGGUCGGGCUUGAGGUAGUGGAUAAGCAUGAGGAUCUACUCAUUCCAUAGGUAGUACUAGGAGGAUCUCCCCUUAACUUAGGUUGAGAGUGCUGGAGAUAUAGAGCCUACUUUAGUUCAACAAAGUUAUUCUACCCCUGUUUUAUAGGGCUUACUUAUUCGCUUGCUGACUCAUUUGGAGGGUACUCUUUUGAGUGCACCUGGUGCUCCUCCAGCUCUGAGUAUUGUACCUCUAUUUGUGCUUGAGUCUACCUAUAGUAUUCCUCUAGUUCUAAGUGUAGAUCCUCUAGUGGUAUUGAUAUCUUCUUAUGGUACUCCACAGACUCUGAGUGUUAUUCGUCCUUCCCUACCAACACUUAUGUAUGGUAUUUUGAGAUUAAGAGUUCACCCUUCAUCUAUGUUACCUCCUCAGAAGGGAUCUCAGCCAACCAUAUUCACUAUGCCUCUUAAUAUUGUGAGUAUAGUUAUGUCUUUUUAGGAUCAAAAGAUGUUUGAGAGACUUACUCAUUUGGGUCCUCUUAGGUUCAAUGGUGUUGUGGGUGAGGAAUUCUAUGAAUUCUUUGAUUAAUUGUAGGAGAAUUUGUAUAAUCUUGAAUCUCUUGAGUCGCAUGAGGUUACUUACGCUACUUACUAGUUGAGAGAUAUAGUUAUGGAUUCGUGCAGGUCACUAGUUAGUUGCAGACCUCUUGGUCCCUAGAGAUGGCUUAGGAUUAGUUUGUUAAGGCCUUUUUGGAUGGGUUUAUUCCAUACAGUCUAAGGGAUUAGAUAAGAGAUAAGUUUGAUCACCUAGAGAAGGGCUUUAUGACUAUUGUAGAGUAUGGGGCAUGUUUCCAUGCCUUGUAUAGAUAUUCUUAAACCAGUAUUGCCACUGAGUCUGAGAAGAUUUUAAAGUUUAUGAAUGGUUUGGAUGUUUUGCUUUACCUUACUACUACCCAAAUGGUACUGUUAGGGGCAUUCUUUCAGAGUAAAAUAGAUCAUGCUAAGAUGAUUAAGUCUAUACAUUGAUCAUCUUAUGGAGGCAUCAAGAGGGUGCACCAUCAAGGCAAAUUUAGAGGUGCACCCUCAAGGCAAAUUUAGAGGUCAUACUCCUCGAGGUAGAGAUUUUAAAGGCUUUCGUAAGUAUCCUAGAAGACUUGUAUAGGCAGCCUUGCAGGGUCUAGGUAAUGGGUCUUCUAAUUUAAAAGGUUUGGCUGGUAUUUCUGGCUCAGCUUUACCUUCCCUAUUGAGUCGAGUCAUAGAGGUUGUUUUAUGUGUGAUGAGAUUAGCCAUUAGGCCAAGGCCUAUCCCUACUGUAUUCUUAGGCCUACUUUUUUAUCAGAAGUAAGAGGUGGGAGGUCUACUAGAGGUACAAAAGACAAAGGUAGUAAUGGUCAUGGUGGAAUUUGUAGGGUUACUUAAUCAUGUUGUGGUCAUGAACAGUGCUAUGCUAUACCCACCAGGAAAAAGGUAGAGGCUUCUGACACUAUUAUCUUAGGUAUUAUCCCCAUUUUUUUUAGAUCUGCAUAUAUUUUAUUUGACCUAAAAUCGAAUUUAUCCUAUAUGGAUGCAUAUUUUGCUUUGGAUUUUGAUUCUACUAGUGAGCCUUUUGUCGUGCCUAUCUGUGUAUCUAUCCUUGUAAAAGACUCUUUAGUGGUGGAUGGGGUGUUCUAAUUUUGUUUUAUGACCUUUAUUGGGUGUGAGACUUGGGUAGAUCUUAUUAUCUAAGGUAUGGUAGAUUUUGAUAUUAGUUAUGGUAUGGAUUGGUUAGAUCUUUAUCAUGAUGUAUGCUAAGAUCGUGACCUUACCUUUGCUAGGUGUGCUGAGGAUAGCUUAGUUAGGGUCCCAAGAGAGUUAUGUGUAACACCCUAGAUUUUUGCCCUAGAAAAAUUCUAAGUUUUGAACUCACUGUCCAACCUACUACUCACCAUACGAGUCAUAAGGUGUCUUGACGGGUCAUAGAACCCCAAAUCGUAGGGUAUCCAAUAAAGUUUGUUGAAGUUACGACUAGGGUUCACGAGUCAUAAAGACUUUAUACGAGUCAUAUAGUCUAAAUUGUAGGCUAACUAGUGUUAUGCCCCAAGUGUUCUAUCCUAAUUACAACUGGAUGUUUUGAGUCAUAUAGACUUAUUACGAGUCAUAAUGUGCCAUCCGUAAGGGAACCAAUGUAGGGCCUUAAUGUUUCUACCUAGGCUAUGACUCUUGGUGACGAGUCGUAAUGAGACCCUAUGAGUCAUAAGAUGACCCGUGGUCAAUGAUGACAGAUUUCCAUAUUUCAUUAAGGGUACUUUGGAUUUCCCUUUCUUCUAACUAUAACCGACAACCUUAAAACACUUUGGGGACCCCAUUGUCCUUCAUAAACAUAUUAAAUACUCUCUUUACUUCCUCAAACUCUCCUAAAUACCUAAGGGAAGAACAAGUUAGGGUUUCUCAGAGUUGGAUAUCUAAGGGCUCAAGGAUUGAUCUCUCUCCAUAAUUCUUUGUACUUUCAGGCAUGUUGCUCUUCUCCAAGUCUUAUUUUAUGAAAAGCAUGUGUUUAUAAUCUUACCCAUGUGAUAAGUUAUGAUUUUAAAUGUGGGUUGAGGAUUAUCAAACAUUAUUGUAUUACUUGUUUUUCACAUAGCUUUUAUGAAUCAUGUAUGACUUGAAUUGAUGUUUUUGAACAUGUGGGGUGUAUGGGCACGAUGAAUGAACUCAGGGGUCAGGGUUUCCCCUAAUUUCAUGAAUAUGGAUUAUUUAAAUUGUAUAACCCCAACCUAAUCUUGUGAAAUUGGCUUUGAUUAUCAGUACAUUUGCAUUAAGCUACUUCUGUAACCCUUGCACAAUAUAAAAAGGUUAUUCAAACAUAAUGGUUUGAUUUAAUGAACAAAGGUGUUCAUGGUAUUCCCCCAAAUAGACUAAAUGAACAAAGGGGAUUGUUUUCUUAAGUAAAUAGAAUUGUACUAGCAUGAUGAUGUUACCUUGCAAGUGUAGUUGGUAUGACAAUACUAACUAUGUAUGUCUUGAGUAAUAUUGUGGCUCAAGUAAUGGGAAUAUGUGAAAAAUAUUUUAACUGGGCUUAAAAAGGGUUAUGCAUCUUAGUAAUGAAAGUGAAGGUCCCGAGAGACCAACAUCAAAAACUGUAUUUGUUAGCAUAGGGGUCUAAAUUGCUUAGGGUUCGAGUCCCCUUACUUAUGACUACGUGGUUUGAGUCUCCCUUAUGACUGACUGGGUGUACAUGUCACCCUUGAUAUUUGACAGGGUGGUUUGAGUCUCUAUUGGUACAUAUGUACAUAGUAUUAUUCUCUGGUUGAUGCGGCUACAAGCAAUGGGGUUUUUUCAGCUGGGAGAGUAGAGCCCAUAUAGCCUGUGGGUGCCCUUUUAUGAUGGUUAAGCUACACAAACUAGAAAAAUAUUUUAAAGUUUAUGCUAAGCCUUGUUCUUUUCCCCGAAUGUGAUAUUUAUAUAUAUGUAUAUGCAUAUAAUUAUGUACAUUAGAUUUUAGAUAAUUUUAAACAUUGAUCAUGGAAUAAUUUUAUCCCUUUCCUAAGUUCAAUGCCAAUGCUCAACCUGCUAACCAUCUCUGAAUGUUUUAUUCACUCAAAAUGCAAGAACUGGAGACACUUCUGCUUUUAUUUUGGCAGUGAUUGGAUUUUUAGGUUAUCAACAGCCAACUUUAAGUGGUGAGCCUCAUUCUCCUAGAAGGCUGUUACUUUUUGGUUUAUCUUUUAUCAUAGACUUUUCUUUGGAGUUAUUUAGGCUAUCAUCAGGGGUAUGUCCCAAUAUUAGUUUGAUUUGGUUUUGUCAUAAAGGUUGUGUGGAUUACUAUGGACUGGGUACUGGUUGUGGAUGUAUUUUAGAGUCCUUGAGCAUAUAUUUUUCUAUUUUGUUAUAUGUUCAAAAUUCAGCCAAUGUCAUGUGUAUUGUAUUUAUGUGAUUAGGCAAAGAAGGUGUUUUCCUAUCCAGGGUAGACUUGGGAUAUCCUUCAUGGCUAGGACCUAGUUUGGAUCAUGAUAUUAUAUUAGUUUUUUAGGCUCAUCUCUUAGUUGAGAAGGGGUGUUUGUCUUUUUGGCUCAUAUUCUUGAUAUUAGUGUUGCUUCACCACCACCUUUGGAUUUUGUUCAUAUUGUUCAUGAUUUCAUGGAUGUUUUCCUUACGUAUUUCCUUGGUAUUCCUCUGGAUUGUGAUAUUGAAUUUUCUAUUAAGGUUGAGCUAGACACUAAGCCCAUUUCUAUUCUUUCUUAUAGGAUGGCCCAGUAGAGUUGAAGGAAUUAAAGGAUCAGUUGAAGGAGUUGUUGGAUAAGGUAUUUAUCUAACCUAGUGUAUCACCUUGGGGUGUGUCUGUCUUGUUUGUGAAGAAAAAGGAUAGGUAUAUGCAUAUAUGUAUUAAUUAUCAGCAAUUGAACAAGGUGAUAGUGAUGGUUAUUAAUAAGUAUCUUCUUUCUCAUAUUGAUGAUUUGUUAGAUCAGAUUUAGGGUGGUUUUUGUUUUCAAAGAUUGAUUUGAGAUCUAGUUAUCACUAGUUCAGGAUUAGAGCUUUGGAUAUUUCAAAGACAUUUAUUUUAGACUCAGUAUAGUCAUUAUGAGUUCUUUGUCAUAUACUUUAGGUUGACCAAUGCCCCAUCCAUAUUUAUGGAUUUAAUAAAUGGGGUAUAUUAUCUAUACCUCAACUCUUUUUAUUUUAUUUAUAGAUGAUAUCUUGGUUUAUCUCAAGAGUGAGGUCGUUCAUAAAGAACAAUUAUAGAUUGUGCUCCUGAGAUUGAGGGGUGAUAAGUCGUAUGAUAAGUUAUCCAAGUGUGAAUUUUAGUUGUAGUAUGCUUUUUUCUUUGUUUAUGUAGUGACCAAGGAUAGUAAUUACAGUGGUUCAUAAUUGGGCUAGACCUAUUUCUCCUACCGAGAUUUAGAGGUUUAUUGGUUUGAUAAGUUACUAUUGGCCUUUUUUUAUCUAUUGUAGCUCUAUUGACCAUUUUAACUUGGAAGAAGAUUUCCAUUCAGUGGUUUGAUGCUUGUAAGGCAAGCAUUCAAAAGCUUAAAAACUUAUUGACUUUAGCUCUUAUCUUGACUUUUUCCAGGGAGGGCAUAGGGUUUACCAUCCGUUGUAGGACAUUAGGUGUUUGGUUAAAUAUUGUGUUAAUGUAAGAGGGUAAGGUGAUUGUGUAUGCUUCACAUCAGUUGAAGCCCUAUAGGAAAAAUUACCCUAUCAGUGAUUUGGAGUAGUGUCCAGUUGUAUUUGCUUUGAAGUUAUAGAGCCACUACUUGUAUGGAAUUCAUUGUGGUAUCUUCUCAGAUUAUCUUAUCCUUAAGUAUCUCUUCACCCAGUCUGAUCUUAAUCAAAGGCAACGUCGUUGUCUUGAGUUGUUUAAGGAUUAUGAUCCUACUAUUGUAUAUCAUUUAGGCUAGAAAAAUGUGGUUACGGAUGCCUUGAUCCAGAAAUUAACUAGCAUAGAUAGCUUAGUGGAUCUUUUGACCUAAGAGUGGUUUUUGGCCUUAGAGGUUUAUCCUUUGGAUAACCAGAUAGUUAGACUUGAUAUUAUUUCACCGACGUGUCUUUUAACAUUUGUGGAGGCUAAUUGUUCUUUGAUGGAGCAGAUUCGGGCUUAUCAAUUUUAUGAUGUAGGGUUGAGAGUGUUCAGGAUAAGGUAUUAAGAGGAGAGACUAAGGAGGACUCACUUAAUUCAGAUGGUGUUUUAAGGAUUGGAGGUCGAGUAUAUGUCUCGAGAGUAGAUGAUUGGAUUAUAGUGAUUUUGGAGGAGGCUCAUUGUUCUAGGUACUUCAUCAUCUAGGAGUGACUAAGAUGUAUUGUGAUAACAUUACUAGUGGGGUGGUAUGAAGAUGAAUGUAGCUUAUUUUGUAGAUUGUUGCUUAUGUUUCUAGGAGAUAAAAGUCGAGAAUUUGAGGCCUGGUCAUUUUUUUCAAGGGUUACCCAUUCCCAAGUAGAAAUGGGAAUGGAUUACUAUGGACUUUGUGACUGAGUUGCUACAUACUUCUCGUAGUUCUGAUAGUAUUUAGGUCAUCAUGGAUCGAUUGACCAAAUUUGCUAAUUUUAUUUUGGUUCAAGUUUUAUUUAGUGUCGAGAGGUUGCCUACAUCUUUAUUUAUGAGAUAGUUUAUCUUUAUAGUGGGUUAGUGUCUAUCAUCUUGGAUAGAGGUUCAAUGUUCACAUCUUAUUUUUAUAAGACCCUUUUGGAGGAUUUGGGUACCCAAGGUGAUCAUAGUAUAACUUUCCACCCACAGAACAAUAGUGAGGCAGAGCAUAUGUUAGAGGACAGGCUCCAUGUGUGUGUUAUGGACUUUAGACGUUAGUAGAAGUAGCAUCUAGAUUUGGCGGAUUUAGCAUAUAAUAUCAGCUACCAUUCCAGUAUUAAGAUGACUUAUUUUGAGGCUUUGUAUGGUAGGCAUUGGUGCUCUCCAGUUGGUUUGUUUAAGGUUUUUUAUAUUAGACCUUAAGGUAAGGACAUUCUUCAUGGGUCCCAAUGUAGAGUUCAGAUCAUUCAGGAUAGACUUUGAGUUGCUCGGUGUAGGCAAAAAUGCUAUGUAGAUCAUUGACUUUGUGCCUUGAUAUUUAAUAGUGGAGAUUAAGUUUUCCUUUGUGUGUCACCCAUGAAGUGCAUGAUAAGGUUUAGGAAGAGGGAAAAGCUUAGACCUAGGUUUAUUAAACCUUUUAAGAUUCUUCAUGUUAUUGAAGAUGUAUCUUAUGAGUUAGCAUUGCCCCUAGAUUUUUCAACUAUUUAUCCAGUUUUUCAUGUUUCCAUGCCUAAGCAUUAUAUUUCGGACGAGUCGCAUGUCAUUCGUUGGGAUUUAGUCUAUUUAGAUGAGAGGUUGUCAUUUGUUAAGGAGCCAAUCUCUAUUCUAGGCAAGGAUGUUAGGCGGUUACAUUUUAGAGUUAAUCCUGUGGUUAAGGUCCAGUAGAGACAUCGACCUGUAGAUGAGGCUACGUAGGAGUAUGAGUUUGAUAUGUGUGGUAGUUAUCCUCAAUUUUUCUCUCAUUCGAGUAUUUCCCUUGCCUUUAGUUUAAAGACGAACUAGAUUUUAAGUGGUGGAUAAUGUAAUUACUUAAUUUUUGGUGAUUUUGUGAAGUGUUCAUUUUUAUGUGAUUUGACCAUUUUACCUUACUCUGUAGUUUCUAUGUGGUAUUUUUAGGGUGCGGGAUGAUUGACACAGUUUCUAAUGUAUUUUGAGAUGGUUUGUGUGAGUUUAUGGUCUUUGGUGGUUAAAAAGCGUAUAAGUUGACUUUGAUAGACAUUUACUGAUCUGUACAUUGGAUAGAAAAAUUGACUAUGCCAGUAGAUUCAAAAUGUUGAUUUUAGGUUGGUAUCAUGGUUGUUGUGAUUUUAAGGCUUUUACAUCUCAUUCUGACCCUUAGAUUCGAAGUUGUAAAAUUGGGUUACGAGGGUCAACUUUUUAUACAACAACAAUUUCAAAAUUAUGAUAUGACCUUUGAGUCUGAAGCGCCAAAUUUAGUCUAGUAGCAUAGUUUGUUUGUAUUCUCAAGAUUUUGGAUGAAUCUUGAGGGGUUCACAGAGAAUAAGAAUUCUCCAAGUCUCCAACUGAUGCAGCACUUAGCUGGUGCAUCUGCUUAAUCAAUAUUUUGGUAACUUAAGAGACCUAACAACCACCUGGGGUAUUGCUUAAAUGACUCCCCCAUUGUGUAAGCAAGUGUCGCUUGAGCAAAAGUUAGGUCACUUUCGUGACAUUCGCAUUCCACGUAGGUAUCGCAAAGGCCACACCUGGUUGCUUAAGCUACAACCAUAUAAGUAUUCUGGUGUUCGCUUAAGCGAUGUCUGGGUGGGUUAUAUGCCCCUCUGUUUUAAAAUUUUCACCUUUUUUACACUUGAAACUUGGGGUUUUGAGUUUUUGGAUGAUUUCUUCCAUUUUAAAGCUCAAGUAGGCUCCAAAUUUAUCUUUCAAUCAUUUUUCUUUGAUUCUUUUCAUUUAUAUCUUGUUAAAACUUGAAUUCAAAUGUGAAAUUUGUGGGAUUUUGGCUCAGAAGGCCUAAAUGAGUAAUUCUUCAAUUUAAAUCCCAAUUUCAACCUAUUUAACUUAGGUUUUCUUCUAUGGCUUCCUUUAAUCAUGGGUAAUAUAUUUUUGGACAAAAGUUUUGGUUUUACCCUUCCUUUUCAAAAAUCCUUUUCGAGGGUCUGUUUUGACCCUAACCCAGGAAUGGGCAAUAUGGGUAUCGUUUGCUUUCUUUUAAUGCAUAGAUUCUAUAUUUGUAUGUUUUAGUUGAUUCCAGAUCUAUUCGUAGGGAGAAAGCUCUAUGUUGAGUGCUUUCCGGACUAGUUUUCAACAUUUGAACUAGGUUAUGGCUUAACUUUUUUCAAACUAGAUUGGUAGUUAAUAUUUGUUUACAAACAUGUUAUGGGUAUGGGAACUAAUAAUGGAAAUGGAUUUAUUGUUUUUUUGUGCCCAUGUAAGGGCCUAGGUUGGUUUUAUUUUGUGAUUUGAGGCAUUAUUUGCUCUGUGUGACUGCGUGGGGUCUUAUAUGAUGUUGUUGCCCAUGUUUAUGUAUAUUGGUUGUAUCUUUUCUGGUGAAAAGCCUAAAUUGGAAUUUAUUUAUUAUAUGGUAUCAAUUGCAUAUCUUUGUCUAUUUUACUCUAUUGGCAUAUUGAUUAUAUUGGAUCAUAAAUUGUCGGCAUAUUCGGUGAUUUUUUCUCACAUGAUUGGUAUAUUGGUUGGAUUUGGAAAUUCUCAUUCUGGUUGAUUGUGAUCAUUACAUCCUCAUAUCAAAUCAUUAAUGAAAUAUUGGUACCAUCGUGGAAAUACUAUAAAUACUGCCUUUUUCUGAUAGAAAAUAUGACACUUUUAAAAGCUUUUGUCGAUGUAUGUGCCGGAGAGAAGUUGUGAUAUUGAAUUGGUAUUGGAUAUAAAAUAGUAUAUGGGUUGAUGACCCCCCCGCCUCCCCAUGGGUCCUACUAUGGAAGCAAAACUUGGUAGGUGAAUAUUGAGGUUAUAUGACAACCUCGUACAUCACAUCAUCAUCAUCUUCAUUGCAUUUUAUAUGUUGUGCACAUUUUGUGUUGUAUUCUCAUUCUUGAUGUGAUAUCUAUCUAUUUAUCUUUCUUGCACUUGUAUUUUGGUAUGUAUUUAUAUUGUAGAGCUAUAGUGGAGACAGUGUGGGCUAUCAUUUGUGACAUUUUCUGAUGCCUUGAUUCUUUUCCGUGGCAACGACGCUAAAAAUUGAUGUCACCCAAAACUAACCUCCAAAGAAAUCUGUGGUUGUUGACGCAAGUAUAGUUACCCAAACUAGGUUGGGGUUUAACCCACAUGGAAUGCUUGGAAUAAUGUGUUGAACUUGACGAAAUCAUGGGCAGUGCUGAAAAUUAAAUAUAGGGAAUUUGAAACCACAAUAACACAUAACCGAACUUGAGUGCUUGAGAUUGUAAACAAUAGAAGACGAACACUAGGACUCUGUCCCCCCUAACUUCUAAAUCUGUAAGAGUCUCAGGUUCAAUUCAUCUAUCCUAUUGCUAUGCAUGCAAAGACUGACAAGUUAUGUAUUAUCAAUCACCUUGUGAACGCAUUGAUAAAUCUCAUCCGUCACCCUUUAAGUCUCAGGGCGUCGCCUUACUAUCCCUUGUCUUUGACCCCAGUACAACUAUACCUUAUGGGUCUCAAGUUUAUUAGAUGAGGGUUGAUAGCCUUAAAUUACUAUCAUAAUCUUCUUUUCUCAAUAUCAAACUUGUUUGUGAGGAUGAUAUAGAAUACAAGGAAUUCCCAAUCUUCUAGAGUAGCUUGGGAUACAAUUAAUAUAAAGAAAAUCAAGAUACAUGCAUCCACAACAAAAAUAUUAAUCUCCCACUUCCCUUACGUAGUCAAUAUGCCAGGGGUCCCACAACCCAAGUCAAGGAAAUUAGCUGCUCAAUUCAUGAAAAUCAAUGAAAAAGACAUGUAAUUAAUUGAACAAAAAUGAAAGAGUAAAAUAAAAAAUCUCCAAUUGAAUACGAAACCAAGACCACAUGGACAAAAUCAAGAACUCAAAGUAUAUUCAAAAGUAUUAAAAGUGCGUAAAAUAAUAAUGGAAUAACCAUAGGGUAUUUAUAGUAUCUCAAAAUAGUAAAGAAAUCCUAAUUAUAAUGGAAUAGGAAAAUUAAGUCAGCAGUGGUCACGACUCUAGUAAUGAGUUGUUAGGUCUGCUUAUGACUCGUUGCUUGAUCUCAUAGCUCUUUUUUGGCUUCAACGAUUAUGACUCAUAUGCUCUCCGUACGAGUCGUAUGCUUCUUAUUGUAGGCACUCCAAUAGCUUUUCUCUUUCAAAGAAAAUGAAUCUGUUGUUUUUAUGACUUCUCGUUAUGAGUCGUAGUCAUACAUUACGACUCGUGGUCUUCACUCGUAUCCAUUAGAGCAUCAAUAUUCGGGCUUUAGAUACUCGUCACAGUACGAAUUCUUACAAUGAGUCGUAGUCUGACCUUACGACUUAUCGUCCUGCAUAAUUUUCCGCCUGGACUUCAGCAUUUCUAACUAUUGUCAUUACGCUUGCACACCAUAAAUCACGGUCACUCCUUAUUAGUCGUGGUCAAUAUUUACUUAGUUCCUCAACUAAGCUUUUGUCACUAUUAUCCUUAUGAGCUUGGCUUUGAGUCAUAAGGUAACUUAGUGACUCGUACGUUGACCACAACUUCAACAUAUUCAGAGUUUUUUCUUCCAUUUUUAAUGGCAAGCCACUUCCUACCUAAUUUACCUGUAUUACAUACAAAACACAUAUCAUAUCCGAUAAAAUAUCCCAAGUCAAUGCAUAAUUUCACAGUUUUACGCAUAGAAUUUUCCUUGAAAACACAGCACAUCAGUAGUUGAUGUGCCCAUUGUGUGUCUUUUAUAUCUAUUAUUUUAUACUUUUCUCAGUCGACCUAUGAUACCUACAGAGUACAAGUGGACAAUACUCAUUUCUAUUUCAUCAUUUCAGUGUAGAUCCAGGUACGAGUGCACUACAUGGUAGCUAAUUCGGAUGGUGCUGUGAGUAUUUUUGAGGUAUCGGUUGGUCUGUGCUUCAAUAUUUGAUCUACUACCUCUGCUUACUAGUUCACAUCUUUUUUUGUGUUUAGAGACAAAUUAUGUUCCUUUUUGGACUAUCAGUUUGUAUAUUUUUAUUUCGAGAUGUACUUAGUUGGUUCUUACACUAUGACACCAUAUUUUGGGAGAUUUAUGGCAUCUUUCUUAUGUAUUUUUCUGCUAUUAUGGUAUAUGUGUGGUUUGGAUUCAUUUUAGAAGCCUUGCCUUAGGUUUUGGCAUUAUUUACUCAUUUUAUACCAGUUUGGAUGAUAUGCUUACUUGCCAUGAUUUUCCGCAACACGUACCAUCCCAACCUUUGAAUUUUAGGUUGUGACACGAAGUGUAGAAGACAGUUAGCUCACACUGCAAGGAUUUGUACAUGAUCGCAUCUAUGAAAGUGGAUAACUAUGAGGUGGUGGAGUGAAACCUUCCAAUGACCUCUUCGGACCUCUCACAUUGAGUUGCCCAAUUCUAAAUUAAGCCUGAGAUUAAGAGACAUAAAAAAGGAGCUUGCAAAAGGCAAGUAUGGAGAAAGCUACAGACCUUGAGAGUAUGCACUCAAGAGUUCAAAACGAAUAAGAAUAUGGGGUUCGAGUAAGAGGAACAGGAUGUAAAAAUAUGGUUGAGAAUGGUGUGAACCAUGCCGCGAUAAUAAACUAGGCAUUGCUUCCGGGGAAUCCCAACUUAAGGUAGGUAUUUUAUUUUCUUAGUUUUAUUUAGUAUCACCUUUCUUUUUAUUUAUGUUUGAGUCAUGGGAUAAAGGGAAGUUUUAUUACAAGAAAUCCAAGCUAAAGAGCACAACAAAGACUGAGUAUAGGGUCCUUCGGACCUCUUUGAUAAUUUGGAUGCGACUAGCUAGGCUGGAGGCUAAAAGAAGUAGUUCAAUCCUUACUUCUAAUUUUUACUUUAGGGACAGAGUGUAAUUUUAAGUUUGGGGUAGGGAAUCUUCUGAUUCUUUAAGGUGAAGCGCUUCUAUAGGACUUCCAUUCUUAGUUAUUUUCUAGUUUUUGACUAAAUUUGAAAAGUUACAAAAAGAUUUUAUUUUUAGUUAUUUUCAGUUUUUAUUGGUGUCUAGUAGAAGCACACUUCACCCACACCUUGAUUUUUAUUUUUGGUUAUUUUAUGAGGGGGUGAUGGUCACGACCGAUGCUACCCCUAGUCACGACACAGUGCUUAAGGCAAUAAGUGAUUCCAAGAUAACCCAUGAUCUAGUACAUGCUGUGAGCACUAAAUAAAAUAAUAUGGAAACAUCAUGAGCGGAAGAUAAACUGAUAAUUUUCUAAUAUAAUAUAAUAUUGAAAUCUAAACCAACAUGUCUGAAAUAACUGAGUAGACUAAAGAUUACGCUGCUUGUUUGAAAGACUUUAAAACAUAAGAAGUUGAUAGGACAAACCCCCAACUAACUCUGACUAUCUGAGAUAUAGAAAGUAUUGAAAAUAACUAAAGAAAACAUAUUGUCCUUAAUGAAUGAGGACUCACCACUAAUGUGGCUGAGAGGUAUUGAGCUGUCUAAGAAUAAUCAGGGGACCUUGCAUCUGUACCUAUGUUAUAAGACAACAUAUCUCAAAACAAGAGUAUGCAAUUAGUACUUUGAAUGUACUGGUAUGUGAGGUAAGGACUAACUAGACAUAUAUAAGGAAGCUAAACAUGGAUGCAUGAACAUAUAAAAAUGAGAAUCCAAGACCAAGUAAAGUAUGAACUGAAAUAAUUUAUAAAAUUGACUGACUGAAUAGCUGGUAAACUGAAUACUUAGUCAUGCAAACCUAAGAUGAUACAAUUCGAAUACUGAACUGAAAUAAAACUGUAGGAGUUAUCACAUAACCGACAUGACCCAGUUUGAUCUAAUAAGGGUCCAACCUAUAACCCAAUUGGAAGAGGGUGUCAGUACCUUGGUACGAAUACUAAUAUUGACUUAUGGAUCGACUAAAUUGAUGUCCCAAAGGAUAAUGGCGUCAUUCCUCUAUUGGCUGGUGACCCUUAAAAGAAUGGCAUUCCUAUACCAGUAGGUAACAUCUCAUAACCUAUGCAGUGUACGUAGUUCUAGAACUUAGGGAUUGCUACUAAAGGUCCCAAUACUCUACCAGUGGGUGAUCCUUUAUCACUAGGUUCACUCAGUGCUAAAUCCUACUCCCAACUGAACAGACACUGGUAUUGAUUACUGUUAACUGAACUCAUAACUGAUAGUGCUCAACAUAAUCAUUACACAACUGAGUAUGAUAAUGGAAUUUAUGAUUUGACUAUCUUAGUACUUGAAAAACUAAAACAUAAGUAAACACAUAGGUAUUGUGUGUUCAUAACCUUCCAACACUUAAUAUACUGAAAUACGAUAAUAACACUUAAAACAUUGGUAGAAAGACAUAAUUUAGAGACCCAAAAUACAAUACAUUUCAAUGAAUGACUGAGCUACAUGAAUUUGAAUAUGGGGAGGUGUUAAACUUGUGAGAAUAACAAUUUCACAUGGUUUAAUUCAUAACUUGAUUAUUUGACAUGGGAUCAAUUGAAAAUGAUAUAGGUAAUUGCAAUUCAAAGUAUGAAAUAACCUAAUUUACAUAGGAAAACAUUUUGACAUGGCUUGAAUUUAAAUUUCUAAAACAACAUGGAUUAAAUUCAUAUUUAGCAUGGAUAAAUUUCACAAAAGAGGAUAAAAUUCAUAGUUGAACCAAAAAGGGAUUUCGACUCAAUCAUUGGAAAAAACCCAUUAACGAAUACCCCACACACCUCAAUUGGUUGAAUUCUUGUAGAAAAACUUUAAAUUGGAGUUUGAAUGCUAGAAUUCUUGGGGUGACACUUGAAAUUAUGUUCUUGGGUAAAAGGGGAAUAAGUUUUCGUAUAAUAACUGGUAAAGAAUGGGGAAAUUGAUGCCCUUUUGUGUUAUAAAUCGUGGAUUUGGUCUUUUGUGAUGAGGGGAAAUACUAAAAUUCCCCUCAUUAACUUAGUGAAAUUUCUUAGAAAACAUAACCUCUGUGGCACGGAGGUUAUCACGGAGGCUAACAUGUGUAUCACAAACCUUACCGCGGAGGUCCUACCUCCAUGUCAUGGAGGUUAUCAUGGAGACUAACCUUUGUGGCAUGACUAUAUUAUAGAGGCUUACUGCCUAUGGGAUCUGUAAUUACCCCAAACCACAUUUGAAAAUUCCAAAACUCUUUCAGGAUACCCUUUUAACAUCCCUAAACAUGUUUCAACUCAAAAAUCAACGAUUUGGAUUUCGGAAGUCCCCAAAUAAAUUCCUUGAAAUCUUAAGGUAUAAAUAACUAAGUCCACUAUACUCGGUGUAAAAUUCAUCCCUUGGACCCCUUAAACAUACCACUAGGAGUUGGAAGCGAUCCUAAGAUCUUAUGAGGUAUUACAAUAUCUCCCAUUUGGGAUCAUUCAUACUUGAAUGAAACUCGUUAAGAUGAGAUACUAAGAAUACUGAGAUCAUACACUUAAUACUUAGAAGUUGAAUCAUGAUUAAAUAACUAAGUCUAAAACAUAAUACAUGGACUGAACUGAAUUCAUAAAUGCAUACAACGACAAGAGGAUAUUUAUAUAGCUGAAAUAUAAAAUGAGAGAAUCACUUAAGGAAAACAUUAACUCACGCUAAGAAACGAUGGGGAUACUUAACUCACAUAUUUGUUUCUUCUUCCCAUGUUGAUCCCUCAACGGACUGAUUUCACCAUAUAAUCUUAACCAAGGGAACUUCUUUAUUCCCCAGCCUACAAAUAUGAUGAUCAAGGAUCUCAAUUGGGACUUCUUAGUAUGAGAGAACAUCUUUGACAUCCACACUGUCUAAAGGAACAACAGAAUCUGAAUCAUCAAUACAUUUCAUUAGCAAGGAGACAUGAAAUAGGAGAAGCACUGAUUUCAAAUCUACAUGCAAUUCUAAUGGAUAUAAGAGAUUGUACACUUCAUACUUAGAACUGAAUCUGAAUUAAAUAACUAAGUCUAAAACAUGAUACAUGGACUGAACUGAAUUCAUGAAUACAUGCAAUGACAAGAGGAUGGUUAGAUAGAAGAAAUAGAAAAUGAGAGAAUCACUUAAGAAAAAACAUUACUUUACGCUAGAUCUGAAUUCAUAAAGAAAAUAUGGGGAUACUUAGCUCAUAUAUCUGUUUCUUCUUCCCAAGUAACUCCCUUAACGAACUAAUUUUGCCAUUGAACCUUAACCAAGGGAACUUCUUUGUUCCUCAACUAACGAAUCUGAAGGUCAAGGAGCUCAACUGGGACUUUUUCAUAUGAGACACUUUCACAUCCACACUAUCUAAAGGAACAAUAGAAUUUGAGUCACCAAUAUAUUUCAUUAGCAAGGUGACAUGAAACACCAGAUGCACUGAUGCCAAAUCAACAUGCAACUAUAAAUCAUAUGCUACCUUCCCAUAAAGGCUCAAAAUCCUGUAUGGACUAAUAUAGCGAGGACCGAGCUUCCCCUAUUUUCCAAAUCUCUUCACCCCUUUCUUAGGUGAUAUUUUCAAAUAAACCAAGUCGUCAACAUCAAAUUCAAGAUCUCUUUUCCUUAUAUCUUCAUAAUAUUUCUGACAACUCUAGGCUAUCUUUAGCCUCUUUUAAAUCAAUCAAACUUCCUCCAUCACCUCAAAAACUAAAUUUGUCCCUAUCAAAGCAACCUCACCUACUUAAAACCAAAUAAUGAAAGAUCCAUAUCUUCUCCCAUAGAGAGCCUCAAAUAGAGCCAUAUAAAUACAAGAGUGAUAGUUAUUAUUGUAGGCAAACUCAAUCAAAGGUAAAUGGUCAUCCCAACUACCCUUGAAGUCAGUAACAAAAGCCCUCAAUAUGUCCUCUAAGGUCUGAAUGGUCUCCUCUGCCUAACCAUAGUUCGAAGGAUAAAAUAGCCAACUGAGAUGCACUUAGGUACCAAGACCCUUCUAGAAAGCCUUCCAAAAAAGAGAGGUAACCUGAUUAACUCUAUCUAAAAUAAUGGUCAAUGGAUUUCUAGCAACUUUUCCAACUCCUGAGAUAGGGCCUAACAUCAGUUGAGCAUAAAGUAUGAACUGGCAAGAAAUGAUCUUACUUGGCCAUUCGGUCUAUAAUGACCCAUAUAAAAUCAUGAUGACAAUGCAUUUGAGGAAACCCUAUCACAAAAUCCAUAUUCAUUACUUCCCACUUCCAGGGGGUAUUCUAUACUCCUAAAGUAUACCACUAGGCCUUCAUGGCCAACCUUAACCUACUGAUAAUCCUCACACUUAGCCACAAACUCUGUAAUAUUAUUUUUUCAUACCACUCCACCAUUGAUUUCCCACAAAUCACGGUACAUCUUAGUGGCUCCUUGGUGAAUAGAAUAUCACAUACCAUGUACCUCAGCUAAAAUUCACUACCUUAGACUGUCAACACAAGAAAUACAUAGUCUUCCUUGAUAAUGAAAUACACUAUCCUCACUUGGGAGAAUACCUCAACCUUCUAAUCCCUGACUAUCUCCUUUAACUUGACAAAAAUAAUACCCCUGUCUUUCUUUUCUUUUACUUUUCUACCAAUGAGGAUUCCGAACCAUUCUGAACCCAUAAACUACCUUUAGCUAAAUCAACCAACUGAACACCUAACCUAGCAAACAGAUGUACUUCAACAAACACCUCCUUCUUAUCUUUCUCAACAUGUGCAACACUUUUCAUAGAUAAUCUACUAAGGGAAUCAACCACUACAUUGGCCUUACCGAUCAACACACUUAUAUCACUGUCUUUUAACAAUUCAAGCUAGCUUCUAUGAUGAAGAUUAAGUUCUUUCAGUGUGAACACAUACAAUAACAAUUAUUAUCCAUGAACACAUAACCAUGAACCCCAUAAAGGUAAUUUCUCUAAAUCUUUAAGGAAAAGAAAACUCCUACCAACUCAAGGUCUUAGGUUUGGUAAUUUUUCUCAUGGAGUUUAAUAUGUCUAAAGUCAUAGGCUAUGACCUUACAUCACUGCAUUAACACAUACCCAAGACCAACUCUAGAAGAAUUAUAGUAUACCAUAAACCCAUCUAUUCCAUCUGGCAAAGUCAAGACUAGAGCGGAUAUUAGUCGAGUCAUUAUCUCUUGAAAACUCUUCUCGUAGAAAUCUGACCACUAAAAUUUAACUUUCUUUUGGGUUAUGUGAGACAUAAGAGAAGAAAUAAAAGAAAAUCCUUCAAAAAACCAUCUAUUGUAACCAUCUAAACAAAAUAAAUUUCUAAUAUCUGAUGAAGAGAUGGGUCUAGGCCAGUAUCUUACUACUUAGGUCUAUUAAAGAUCAACUUGAAUGUUAUCACCAAAAAUAAUGUGACCAAGGAAAUCUAUUGAUCUCAACAAGAAUUUUUACUUAUUGAACUUAGCAAAAAACUAGCGAUCCUUAAGGAUCUACAAUACAACCUUAAAUGGUCUUCAUAAUCACUCUCACUAUGGGAAUAGAUAAGAGUGUCAUUAGUGAAGACUAUGACUAACAUGUCCAAGUACUGCUUGAACAACCUGUUCAUCAAAUACAUAAAAGUUGUAGGGGCAUUCGUUAGUCCAAAAGACAUAACUAGGAAUUCAAAGUGACCAUACCAAGUCCUGAAGGUUGUCUUUUGAGUGUCACAUUCUCUAACUCUAAGCUGAUGAUAGCCAGCUCUAAGGUCUAUCUUAGAGAAAUAGCUUGCACCCUAAAGUUGGCUGAAUAUGUAAUCAAUUCUAGGGAGAGGAUAAGUAUUCUUAAUUGUAACUACGUUCAAUUAAUGGUAGUCAUUGCAUAUUCUGAGAAAACCAUCUUUCUUGCACAUGAAAAGAACUGGAGCACCCAAUGGGGAAAUACUAGGAGGGAUGAAACCCUUAUCUAAAAGAUCUUCAACUAUUUCUUAAAUUCCUUAAGCUCAGUUGGAGCCAUUAUGUAAUGUGGAAUAGAGAUAGGCUGGAUACCUAGCAGGAGAUAUAUUCUAAAAUUAAUUUCCAUUUCGUGAGGAACUCCAGGAAGAUCUUCAGAAAACACAUCUAUAAAUUCAUUCAACACUAGAACCAACUCAAGACUCAAAGUUUCAAAAUUUGAGUCCUUGACACAAAUGAGAUGGUAUAUACAUCCCUUUGAUAUUAUAUUUUUAGACUUAAGAUAGGAGGCAAAUUGACCCUUAAGCACAAAAGCACUACCCCUCAAUUCAAUAACUAUUUCAUUAGGAAACUGGAAUAGAGCAAUUUUAUUUCUACAAUCAAUUGAGUUAUAGCAUGAGCAGAUCCAAUCCAUGCUGAGAAUGACAUCAAAAUCAUUCAUCUCUAACUCCACCAAAUCAACUAAAGUAACUUUCUUAGAAAAUAUAAUCAGGUAAUUUCUAUAAACCCAUCUAACUACAAUAGACUUACCAACUAGGGAAGAAACUAAGAAAGGCUCUACUAGUGUUUCGAUACUAACAGUAAAGUCCAAAGCUAUAUAAGGACUUAUAAAAUAAAGUAAAGCUUUAGGGUCUAUCAAUGCAUAAAUAUAAAUAUGGAAGACUUGAAACGUACUCAUAACUAAUCAGCAAAAUUCUCCUGAUUAUUUCAAGUUUGGUAAGCAUAAAGGUGGUUCUGACGAUACCUACUGGUGGUACUUGAUGUGGCACCCUGCUGAGUUGGGUGACCUUUUGAAGCUGAUGAAAAGUUGGACUGGCCCUAUUGAAACAAAUCCUUUCUACUCUGAACAACCACUAAAAAAUCCAUGAUUCUAUGUCAUAGUUGUUAAAUCCAAAACAUAUAUCACUACCCCCUUUGCAUUUACCUUGAUGAUUUUUACCACACUUCCAGUAAAGAAGAUUAGUGGAACUACUAUUCAUACUACAUUGAGACUUAGAACAUGUCGCUCUAUCCUGACUGUCCUUCCUAAACUAAGGCACUGGUGUACUAGUUAAAGAUUGGCAGGAGGUAAAAUUUUUUGGUAGAACUGAGAAUGGUUCUCGCCUUCAAACAUUGACUGAGAAAAGUUAAAUCUACUUAUUCUAGGCCUCUUAUUCUAGCUUUUCUUUUCCUUGAUCUUCUCCUUCUCAAUUGGCUAAGCAUGAACUAUCAGCCUAGAAAGGCCCAUCUCCUAAAUUAACAUGGUUGUCCUACACUCCUUUACUACACUAUCAGACACACCAGACACAAACUUGCUUAUCUUAAACCUGGAGUCGGGAACCAUAGUUGAAGAAUAUCUUACCAACUGAGUAAACUUAAGUGAGUAUUCCCACACACUCUGGUUACCCUAAUUAAGAUUUAUGAACUCUUGUACCUUAUUCUCGCUAUACUCAGUGGGAUAAACCUAUCUAUAAAGGUCAUGGCAGACUUCUCCUACUCUAUAAGCCCUGCCUUAUCACACCGGUCCUUCUUCCACUACAUAAACUAAGUAUGAGCUACUCCCUACAACUAGUAAGAAGCUAAGUCUGCACUCACUCAAAGUGACACCCAUGAUACCUGUAACUUUUUGCAUCUCUUCCAAAAACUUCUGCAGAUCCUCCUCAAACUUGAUCUAGAAAACAAAAGGGUAUUCAUCCAAGUAACGUAUCGAAUCAUGGAUAUAGUCAUAUUUAAUAAUGGAUUGAUUGGAGCAAUAGCCUACUAGCUAUUUUGGGUAGCUGUAAAUUGAGACAAGGCUAUGAAGGUGGCCUUGAGCUUAGUAUGGAAAACAAGGUCAUACAUGGGAUCUUCCUAAAUAGGUGGUAGUGCAGGAUGAUAUCCAUUCCUUAUUACAUUAUUUCUUCUUAGAGGCAUUUUCUGUAAAUGAAAUAGUGGAUUAGUUAUAAAAAGGGAAUUUAAUAGAGCUAAUGCUCUUUUGCACGUCAUGAAUGAAAGAAGGGAAACUUACCAAAAAACUUCUCAUAGCCUCAUGCCCAUAAGUAUGGUUCUCUUAACACACAUGCAUAAGAAUCUACUCAAUAUGGAUUUAAGACACCCUAGGACACUUUAAAACUUUAGGCUCUAAAAUAAAGUUUUGUCAUGACUUGAGGCUUCCCUCUAGUCACGACAUGGUACUUAAGGCUACAAGUGACCCCAAGCUAACCCAUGAUCUGGUACAUAUUGUGAGAACUGAAUAAAAUAAAAUUGAAACAUCAUACGUGGAAGAUAAAUGGAUAAAGUUCUGAUAUGAUAUGAUAUAGCACUAAAAUAUAAACCAAUAUUUCUGAAAUAAUUGAAUAGACUAAAAAACUAGACUGCAGUCUAAAAGCCUCUAAAACAUAAGGAGUUGAUGGGACAAAUCCCCAACUAACUCAAAUUAUCUAAGAUAUAGAAAGUAUUAAAAAUAAAUUAAGAAAACAUUUGGUCCUCAUUGAAUAAGGACUCACCACUACUGUUGUUGAGAGGUAUUGAGUUGUCUAAGAAUAAUUAAGGUACUAUUCAUCCAAAACUAUAUUGUAAGACAACAUAGCAUAAAAGAAGAGUAUGUGAUCAAUACUUUGAAUGUACUCAUACGUAAGGUAAGGAAUAACUGGACAUACAUUACAAAAAUAAACACGAAUGCAUGAAUAAGUAAAAAUAAGAAUGCAUGACCAAGUAAAGGAUGUACUAAAAUAAUCUAUUAAACUAACUGACUGAAUAACUAAUAAACAGAAUCCUUCGUCAUGGAAACCUGAGCUGAUAUAAUCUGAAUACUAAACUAAACUAAAACUGUGGGAGUUAUUAUGUAACUGACAUGCCCUAAUCUGAGCUAAUCAGGGUUAAAACACCCUGGGUUUUUAGAACUAUAGAAAAUUUCAUAGAUUUUUAUUCUUUGGACAUCAUAUGACUAGGGGGUAUUAGUUAUAUGAUGGGGUACCAUUUGUAUAGUCUUGGUCGUAUGUUAACCAAUAUUGGCUGGUGGGUUUGAUUGGUUUUUAGUGUGGGUACAACUUGGGUGGGUACGAGUCAUAUGGUGGGUGAUGAUUCGUAUUGUUUAGUUUUUCUAUCACUCAAUCUGAAAUUUGGUAACUUAACUUGGAUCUGAGUACGAAUGGAUCACCAUGAGCCGCAAUAUUGGGUAUGAGUCAUACCAUGCACUUGUAUGGUGAAAAGUGUCCAAAUCCUCUUUGAUUUCCAUUUUAUGGCAGGUACGAGUCGAGGGUACAGGUCGUCUUAUAUGGUUGCAUAUUGUGCAAUGUUACGGUCCAAAGGGAGUCCUAGGGUAUGAGUAAUGGGUACCACUCGUAUGGUAGGAUACGACUGGUAUGGGGUGGUUAUACCCUCCUGCGGGAUUUUUAAAAAUUUAAGUAGGGGUAAUCUAUAAAUUUCCCUACUUAACCUCUUAAGGCCCCAUGAAAUAUAACUCUCUGGUUACAUCAUUUACCCUAAUAUUCUAAUCAUAAACACUUAGAAACUCUCAAAUUCUAUGGAAGGCUCUUGGUUUAAGAAAGGCUAGGACUUUAUCUAGAGGAUCGGCUUGUACGGGUGAUUUCUCUCUUUCGUCUUCAUAAUCUAAGGCAAGAUACUUCUCCCUCAUGGUUAGUUCCAACUAAAGGCAUAUUUUAUGAAUUAUUUUCAUGGCAUAAUUGUUUUAUGGUUUUGGGUUUUAAAUUAUAUGUUGGGGAUUUUGAUUUUAAAUGCUUGGUUAUGGUUUUACCAUGUUUUAAUUAUGGAUGUACAUACUUUAAUCGUGUCUUGGACAAUUGGUUGCAUGGAAAUGGUUAAUUGGUAAUUGGUUUUGGUGUUGGAAUCACUAUACCCCGACAUGUUUGAUAAAGUUCCUAUGAGAAUACUCUUACUAUAUUAUUAAACUUUUAAUGGAACUAUUGCAUGUUAUAACUUGGUAAUGGAACCUUAAAUGGCAUAAAUUGUUUAAAUGGUUUGGAAUGGUUAAAUGGUAAGGUCUUGGUGGUGAUGAUUAUAGUUAAUUAAACAUUCCUUGUGGGGUACGAGGAAAUCCCCAAAGUGGACCUAAUUAUAAACCACUUGUGGGGUACACGAGACUCCCCCGAGUCAACAUGAUAAUGAAACCUAUGGGUACAAAGAAAUACCUUAAUAUUUGAAAGGUUGGCUAAAGACAUUGCUUGCAAGCUAUAGUUGGUAUGAAGAUACCACUAUUUAUAUACUUAGUUAAUAACAAAUGGAAUGGUUGUCUUGGUUAUGUGGUAAUGGUUUUAAUUGGGUAAUAAUGGUGGGGUGUAAUUAUUAGCAAUGAAGGUGUUAGUCCAAUGGACGUACACUAGAAACUCAUGUUUUCCGCCAUGAGAAUUUGGUCAUGAUGACCAUAUGGGGUACAUGGCAAUCCCCUAAGUUACAUUUGUAUAUAUGCAUCAUAGAGCGCGAAGGAUACUUGGGAAUCCCCUACUCCUAUGGUAUCUUCGAUUCAUGUGGUUACACAAAUCGAGGCUCGAUCAGGGGGUAACACUUGACCCAUAUUUCCUGUGGGUGGUACUAGGAUGGUUAAGCUACACAUACCCAGGUUAAUGAUUUUAAAUGCAUGGUAAACCAAAUUUUCUUUCCUAACAUGAUUUUUAUAUAUAUACAUAUACAUAUAUAUCUACAUAUAUAGAUAGAUAGAUAGAUAGAUAGAUAUGGAUUUGUAUGCAUAUGGUUGGUUUACUAGGUUUUAAUGGUUUGCAUUAUUUUAUUCUUAUCUUGAGUACUUGUUAUUGUUUACCCGCUAACCCAUCUUCGGGCAUAUGUAUACUCACGCGAUUACUCCUACUUAGUGAUCAGAUUCAGGAUCAGCUAUGGGAUUAAAGUUGUGAGCUUCUAUAUUCUAGAAGCCUUUAUUUUAUAUCAUGGAUGUCUUUACAUACUUUUCGUCAUUUUAUGGAUAUUGGAUUUGGCUAUAGUUGGGGGCAUGUCCAAACCAAAUAUUGUUUUUCCUUUUAGUUAGUGUCUUUCUGGAACUACUAUGGGAUGGAAUGGGCAGUGUCUGUAUUUGUGUCCACCUUAAUUUUGGCAUUGGUAUUGGUUCUAACACCAUUUGACUGAAUUUAUGAUUGUUCCAUCCUUUUAUGUUAUGUUAUGAGCAGGAACUUAUUUUUUAUUUGUUUGGUUAUUGUUGUUGCUUUGUAUUAGAAGGUUGGACCUUUUUUUGUUUUUUCAUGGUUAUAGACCUAUCCCAGUGUCUUGAAUUGUAACAAAUGCUUCCUUGUUAUACUAUCGGAAUUCAUCCGACUCAAGGUAUAUGUAUUUUGACAUUACGUUGGGUAACAGGGGUAUUCUCCGAUCCUAGUUUGACUUGGGAUGUCCAUUAUGACAAGGCCUUGGUUUGGGUCAUGUAAAGUUGGUAUUAGAUCUUUAGGUUCAUAGUCAAUAGGUAAUCCACAAAAACAUGUCAAGUAGAGUCUCUUUUAAAGGUGUGUAGUGCGCCACACUUAUAAGGGAGAGGCUACAAGGCUUUAGGAAAUGUUUCUCUUCUUUGUGUUCUAUUUUCAAGCUUAGAUUCUAAGUUCUAGAAUCUUCUCUAAUUCUGUUGAAUCACUUCUCAAAUCAUUCCUUAAUGAUAUGAAGUUCACAAAAACUCCUCUAUCCCAACUAGGGAGAAUAUUGAUGGGACACGCUCUACUCAGGGGAUCCAUACUCGGUCUAGGUUCCUGUCCCUGAUAUUCUAGAGUUCUAAUGGUUCCUUCUAGUGUUCCUCAAGCUUAAGUAAUGAAUUUUAAGUUUUGUCAGUCAAUUCAUAUAAUUUCUCAGUUAGUAGUUUCUUAGUCUAAGCGCGGUGCAUAUAGUAUUGCAUUGUUUGAGGCCACAAGGGUUGGCCAAUUCAUGAAGAUGAGUUCUCUAACCUUUACUAGCAUUAAGGUAGAGUAUGAUCCUUAGGGUUUUUGGAUAAGAUGGAAAAGAUUUCUUAGAUUAUGCUGCCAUGAAUAUUGAAGGGCUUGAGUUUGCUUCUUAUUAGCUCAAAGAUAUAGCAUACCAAUGGUAUGAGAAAUAGGAUAGGGCAAGGGGUGAUGUUAUAAAAUCAUCCUUAUGGGAGACUUUCUCCAAUGUAUUUCUAAACUACUCUUUCCUCAAGAUCUGAGGGAAGCAAAAGUGGAGGAAUUUAUUAAUCUGAAAUAGGGAUAUUUAUCAAGGAGUAUGCCUUGAAAUUUUACCAGUUGUCAAGGUAUGCUCAAGAAAUAGUAACUGAUGAAAAUGCUUGGAUAAGAAAGUUUGCAUUGAGACUGUCUCAGGAUUUGAUCCUUGAAAUCAAGACUGCAUUACUGAUUGGGGACAUGGAUAUAUAUAGGUUAGUUGUUUAUAUUCAAUAGGUAGAUAAGAAAAGAAACAAGUUGAGAUAGGUGAAUGGAAAGGUAAGAGGUUUUUUUUAUCAAAGUAGUGGUCAAUAACAAAGUUUUCCUAAUGAUGGUAAGUGGCCAAAGAAGUAGGGGAAUUUUGAUUCCUUCUCCAUAUCUAGUACUCCUUACCUGAAUCAAUUGGGUGAUAGACAUAAUUAUGGUGGCAACAGCUUUAGGGAAUAGGGUUCCUAAUCUUAGGAAAGUAAGGCACAGACGGCUUUAUUGUGUCCUCUUAAAAGGUUCUACAGUCGGUUGAAUAGGGGUUACUAUGAUGAGAGAAGGGACAGGUGUUUUAAAUAUAGUUAGCCAUCCAUAUGCUUAGAAACUGUCUGGUUGGUAAGGUUUCUUUAGGAGCAAAUAAGGUUUCGGUUGCCUCUUCAUCUACUGCUACGCUGAAGGGUAUUAUUGCUUCUACAUCUAUUUCUGCUUUAGGUAUCAAUAUAGGUCGGAAUAGGUUUUAUGCUCUUGCUACUUGAUAGGAAUCUGAGGCGUCACUGAUGUCAUGGCUCGUACGUUACAACUUUUUUCUCAGGAUGUUUAUUAUUUACUUAAUCCACGAUUUACUCCCUCUUAUGUGACCCCAUUUGUUGUUGUGCAUUUUGAUUUUGAUCUCAAGGUUAUUUCAGAUAUUUUUUCUAUUUCUACCCGGAUAGUUGACUCUCUAGUUGCUCAAAGAGUCUAUACGAGGUAUGUGGUAUUUGUUGCUAGUAAGGAGACUUUGGUGGAUUUGUUUGAAUUAGAUAUGGUGGAUUUUAAUGUUAUCCUGGGUAUGGAUUAGUUACAUUCGUGCUAUACAUCACUAGAUUGUCAAACCUAUUGGGUUAUUUUUACAUUCCCUAGUGAACUAACUGGUUAUUGAAUGGAAGGGUGAUUCCUUAGCUCCUAAUGGGAAGUUUAUAUCCUAUCUUAGAGCCCAGAGAUUAAUCUCCAAGGGGUGUCUCUAUCAUCUAGUCUAGGUUAAAUAUUUUAACUGAAAAGGUCCUUCUUUGCAUUGGAUUUCGAUGGGGAAUGAGUUUCCUGAGGUUAUUCUAGGUGAUCUUCCUGAUGUUCCUCGAGAUAGGGAGAUUAAGUUUGGGAUAUAUUUGGCUUCGGACACACGUCCAAUAACUAUUCCUCUUUAUAGAAUGGCUCUGACUGAGUUGAGGCAACUUAAGGAGCAACAUAAGGAUAUCUUGGAUAAGGGUUUCAUCCAUCCUAGUGUGUCCCUUUGGGGUGCACCAACAUUAUUCAUGUGCAAGAAGGAUGGUUCCUUUUGGAUGUGUAUUGACUAUAGGCAGUUGAAUAUGGUGACGGUUAAGAACAAGUAUCCUCUCCCAAGGAUAAAUGACUUGUUUGAUCAGUGGCAAGGUGCAAAAUUCUUAUCCAAGAUAGAUCUUUGGUCUUAGUAUCAUCUGCUUAAUAUUAGGUAGGUGAAUAUCCAUAAGACAACUUUCCAUACUAGAUAUAGGAACUUUGAGUUCUUCGUGAUGUCAUUUGGUUUUGCCUAAUUUUGUGGUACCUAUAAUGGAUUUGAUGAAUAGGGUAUCCCAUAAGUUUCUGGAUUUUUUGUCAUUGGUUCACCGAUGAUAUCCUGAUAUAUUCUAAGAGCAAGGUGGAUCAUGCCAAUUACCUUCGUGUGGUGUUGCAGAUAUUGAAAGAGCAGCAGUUGUAUGGAAAUUAUGUAAAUGUGAAUUUUGGUUGAUCGUUGUUACUUUUCUUAAUUAUAUUAUUUCUAGUGGGGGAACAAUGGUGGAUCCACAAAAAGUGGUGGUGGUUAAGAAGUGUCCUAGACCCAUAACUUUAAACGAUAUUCGGAGCUUCACUGGGUAUUAUAGGAGGUUUAUGGAAAGUUUCUUGAUGAUAACUGCUUCAUUGACCAAGUUGACUCAUAAGAUGGUAAAGUUUUUUUGGUUGGAUGCCUCUGAAGGUAGUUUCGAAGAGAUGAAAGAGAAGAUAAAUUUGUCUCUAUUUUUGAAUUUGUCUGAGGGCAAUAAGGGGUUUGUCGUUUACUGCGAUGCAUCCUGGGUGGGACUUAGUUAUGUUUUAAUGCAGCAUGGUAAGGUGAUUGCUUAUACCUUUAGGCAGUUGAAAGUGCAUGACAAGAAUUAUCCUGCUCAUAAUUUAGAAUUGUUAGUUGUGAUUGUUGCAUUGAAGGUCUGGACACUAUUUGUAUGAAGUGCAUGUAGAUAUCUUCUUGGAUCAUAAAAGUUUGCAGUAUUUAUUUAUUCUGAAGGGGUUUAACCUCAGGCAGAGGAGAUGGCUUGAGCUUCUCAAGGACUAUGACAUGAGUCUUCACUACUAUCUAGGUUAGGAUAAUGUUAUUGCUAAUAUUCUUAGCAGGUUGUCCAUAAGGAGUUUAGCUUUUGUGGAAAAGGAGAAGCGGGAGUUGGUGAAUUGUAUUCAUCGCUUGGCUAAUCUUACAGUUUUUCUUUUGGACUCCAAGAAUGGUGGUAUAUUGGUACAGGAAGUGGUUCAGUCGGCUCUUGGUGCAGAGAUCAAAAAGUAAAUGCUAGAUCCUAUCUUGAUAAAAAAACAAGGGUGAUAUAGGUGGGCAAAUGUUAAUGGUAUUUGAGAUCAGUGGUGAUGGUACCUUGUUGUACCAAAGGUGAUGUCGAUGGUUUGGGACAAAGGAUAUUAUUUGGGGUGCAUGAAUUGCUCUACAUUGUUCAUCCUAAUUCAAUGAAAGUGUAUCAUAAUCUCAAGGAGAUGUACAAUGGUAUAAAAAAGGAUGUGGCUAAUUUUGUGGCCAAGUGUUUAGUGUGUUAAAAGGUGAAAGUUGAGCUCAUACGGCCUGGUUGAUUAUAUCAAGGAAUGGAUUUUUUGAAAUGGAAAUGGGAGGUGAUCAAUAUAGAUAUCGUUACCGGUUUUCCUCAGUUUCGAAAUCAAUUUGAUUCAAUUUGGGUAAUUGUAGAUAGGAUGACAAAUUCGUCUCUUUUUUCUAGUAAGGACUAACUUUUUGGUGAAGGAUUAUCUGAGGUUGUAUCUUCAUGAGAUUGUGAAGCUAUAAAGGGUACCUAUUUCUAUUAUCUUUGAUCGUGGUAUGCAAUUUUCAUCUCACUUUUGUCAGUCAUUUUAGAAGGGGUUGGGUACUAAGGUUAGUCUGAGUAUUGUUUAUCACCAGCAGAUAGAUGGGCAAGCAGAAAGGACUAUUCAUACAUUUAAAGAUAUGCUUCAUGCAUGUGUGAUUGAUUAUGGCGGUAAUUGUAUUGAAUGUCUACCUCAUGUAGAGUUUGCUUACAAUAAUAGGUAAUAUUUCUUUGAGGCAUUGCAUGGUAGGAGGUGUAGGUCUCCUAUUGGGUGGUUCGAGGUUGGUGAGGCGGCUAUGUUUGGUCCAAACUUGGUUCAUCAGGCUAUGGAAAAGUUGAAGGUGAUUCGAGAUUGGCUUAAGGUUGCUCAAAGUUGCCAAAAGACCUAUGUAGAUGUAAGGCAUAGAGACUUGGAGUUUGAGUCUGGGGAUACGGCGUUCCUAAAGGUGUCUCCCAUGAACGGAGUAAUGUGGUUUCAUAAGAAGGGGAAGCUCAGUCCCUGGUAUAUUGGUCCUUUUGUGGUUUUGAGCAGGGUUGGUAAUUUUUCUUAUGAAUUGUAAUUGCCUUCUAGUUUGAGCUCCAUUCAUUCGGUAUUUUAUGUCUCUAUGUUGACAAAGUUUUUUGGUGAUCCUUGUUUAGUUAUUCCUUUUGAAGGAUUAGGCAUUUAAGAUUCUCUGUCUUAUGAAAAGAUCUCGAUUGAGAUCUUAGAUUGGUAGAUUCAUCGAUUACGAACAAAGGAUGUUGCCUCGGUUAAUGUUGUAUGGCGGAUCUAUAAGGUGGAAGAGGCUAGUUGGGAAGCAAAAGAGGACACUUCAGUAUCUGCACUUGUUUUUUGCUUUGGAAGUUCGUCCAGAAGGUAUGUGUUGUUGAUCACAUCUUUUUUUCUAACUUAGCUAAAGGCUAGAUUGAUUUUUUAUAAUGCAAUGACUCAUGUUUUUGCUUACCCUACCCAUCAUUCGAGGACGAAUGAUCCUAGUGUGGGAGACUGAAACACCCCAAAUUUUUGGAACCUUAGAAAAUUUCCUAGAUUUCUAAUUUCUGGACAUCAUACGACUAGGGGGUACUAGUCGUAGAUGGGGUAUGGUUGGUAUGGUCUUGGUCGUAUGUUAACCAGUAUUAGUUGGUGGGUUGGAUUAGUUUCUAGUAUGGGUACGAAUUGGGUGGGUACGGGUCUUAUAAUGGGUGACAGUUCAUAGGUUUGGUUUUUCCAUCACUUAAUCUAAAACUUGUUAACUUAACAUUAAUCUGAGUACGAAUGGCACACUAUGAGCCGUAAGAUAGGGUAUGAGCCGCUCCAUUCACUUGCAUGGUAUAUAGUGUCUAAGUCCUCUUUGAUUUUUAUUCUGUGGUAGGUAUGGGUCAAGGUUAUAGGUCGUAUGAUUCAAUACGACUUGGCUUGGAUGUUCUUACGAUGGGCAGUAUUGGGGUCCAAGCAUAGGCCUAUGGUAUGAGUGAUGGGUACCACUCAUACGAUGGGGUACGACUGGUAUGGGGUCGUCAUACCCUCCAGUGGGAUUUUUAUACAUUUAAGUGGAGGUAAUCUGGACAUUUCCCAACUUAACCUCUUAAGGCCCCUCAACUUAUAACUCUCUUGGGACAUCAUUUAUAGUAAUAUUCUAAUCUUAAACACUUAAAAACUCUCUCAAAUUCUCUCUAAGCUCUUGGGUAAGGAAAGGCUAGAUAUUUCUCCCUCAUUGUUAGUUCCAACUAAAGGCAUAUUUUAUGAAUUGUUUUCAUAGCAUAAUUGUUGUAUGGUUUUAGGUUUUCAAUCAUAUAUUGGGGGUUUUGGUUAUGAAUUCUUGGUUAUGGUUUUCCCAUGUUUUAACUAUGGACUUACAUACUUUAAUGGAGGCUUGUACAAUUGGUUUCAUAGGAAUGGUUAAUUGGUAAUUGGUUUUUGUUUGGAAACACUAUGCUCCUACAUGUUUGAUAAAAUGCCUAUGAGAAUAUUUUUACUAUAUUGUUGGACUCUUAAUGGAACUAUUGCAUGAUAUAACUUGGUAAUGGAACCCUAAAUAGCAUAAAUGGUUUAAAUGGUUUGGAAUGGUUUAAUGGUAAGGUCUUGGUAGUAAUGGUUAUGGUUAAUUAAGCAUUCCUUGUGGGCCCUCCAAGUGAACCUUUUUAUAAAACACUUGUGGGGUACACGGGACUCCCUCCCAAGUCAACUUUAUAAUAAAACCUAAGGGUACAAGGGAAUCCCUUAAUCUUUGAAAGGUUGGCUAAGGACAUUGCUUGCAAGCUAUAGGCGGUAUGAUGAUACCACUAAUUAUAGACUUGGUUAAUAACAAAUUGAGUGGUAGUCUUAUUUAUGUGGUAAUGGUUUUAAUUGGGCAAUAAUGGCAAGGUGUGAUAGCUAACCGUGAAGGUGUAAGUCCAAUAGACAUACACUGGAAGCUUAUGUUUGUCGGUAUGAGGAUUUGGUCAUGAUGACCAUAUGGGGUACAUGGGAAUCCCCUAAGUUACACUUUUUUAUAUGUAUCAUGGAGAGCGAAUGGUACUUGGGAAUCCACUACUCCUAUGGUAUCUCCAGUUUGUGCGGCUACAUACAUCGGGGCCUGUUAGGGGUUACACUUGACCUAUAUAGCCCGUGGGUGGUACUAGGACGGUUAAGCUACACAUACCUAGGUUAAUGGUUUUAAAUGUAUGCUAAAAUUGGUUCCAUUUCCCGGCAUGUUUUAUAUACAUAUAUAUAUAUAUACAUACAUAUAUAUAUGUAUGUAUAUGUACGGAUUUGUAUGCAUAUGGUUGAUUUACUUGGUUUUAAAGGUUGUCAUGAUCUUAUCCUUAUCUUGAGUAAUUGUUAGUAUUUACUCGCUAACCCAUCUUUGUGUGGCUAUAUCCCCAUGCAAUGCAGAGACCGACCAUUCUACUACUCUUGCUUAGCGAUCAAACUCGGGAUCAGCUAUUGGAUUGAAGUGGUGAGCUUCCAUAUUUUGUAAGGCUCCAUUUCAUAUCAUGGUUGUCUUUACAUACUUCUGUCAUUUUAUGGAUAUUGGUUUUAGCUAUGGUUGGGGGCAUAUCCCAACCAAAUUUUAUUUUUUCCUUUUAUUAGUCUUUUUAGAAAUACUAUGGGUUAGAAUGGGCGGUGUCGGUAUUGGUGACAGCCUUACUAUUAGCAUUGGUAUUGGGGCUUAUACCAUCUGACUGAAUUUAUGAUUGUUCUAUCAUUUUGUAUUAUAAAAAUAAACUUGUUUUUGUAUUAUUUUGGUUAUGGUUGUUGGUUGGUAUUGGACGGUUGGACUUGUUUGGGUUAGUCACGGUUAUAGACCUAUUCCACAGUCUAGAAUUUUAAUAAAGGCUACCUUGUUAUACAGUCAGAAGUCAUCCAACUCAGGGUAUACGUAUUUUGAGGUUAGGUUGGGUAAUAGGGGUAGUCUCCAGUCCUGGUUGAACUUGGGAUGCCCAUUAUGAGAAGGCCCUGGUUUGGGUCAUGUUAAGGAUCCAACCUAUAACCCUAGUUUGAUGGGUAUCAGUACCUUACCAUAGGUACUUACACUGGCUGUGUGGAUCCACUAAAUUGGUGUCCCAAAGGACUAGGGUGUUAGUACACUACUGGCGGGUAACCCUUAAAAGAAUGUCAGUCCUCUACUGGUGGGUGACAUAUCAUAACCUAUGAUGGCUAUGUAGUUCUAGAACUUAGAUAUUUCUACUAAAGUUCUUAGUCCUCUACUGGCGGGUGAGCUUUUAUCCCUAGGUUCGCUUGAUGCUAAUCCUACUCCCAACUUAACUGUCACUAGUAUUGAUUACUGUUAACUAAACUCAUAACUAAUAGUGCUCAGCAUGAGCAUAACAGAACUGACUAUGAUAAUGGAAUUAAUGAUUUAACUAACUUAGUACUUGAAAAUCUGAAACAUGAGUAAACACAGAGGUAUUGGGUGUUCAUAACCCUCCCGUGUUAAAUGAUACUAAAAUACGAUUACACCACUUAAAAAUUUAUAGAAAGUUAUAAUUCAGAGACCAAAACAAAAAUACAUUUCAAAGAAUGACUGAGAUACAUGAAUUUGAAAUGGGGAGGUGUUAAACUUGGGAGGAUAACAAUAUAUUAUGGUUUCAUUCAUAACUUGAUAAUUUGACAUGGGGUCAAUUGAAUAUGACAUGGGUAAUUGCAAUUCAAAGUAUGAAAUAACCUAAUUUACACAGGAAAACACGUUGACAAGGCUUGAAUUCAAAUUACUAAGAAAAACAACAACAUGGAUUAAAUUCAUAUUUAAUCCUGAUAAAUUUCACAAAAGAGAAUGCGCAUUCAUUUGAUCCUGAUCCUUGUGGAUCGAAAGGUAGACUAGACUGGACCUGCACGGCCCUCCUAAUAAUAUCCAUAAAUGAGUUGUUUUUGGUAAUAGAUGAACAUUACCGCAUGUAAAUUCUGGUGCAUGAUAGACACCGGUACUCCAGUGCAUUUCUCCAUCUGAAUCAGAAUAAAUAUGUUUUCAAACCUUCUCUUUAAAAUUUAAAGUGGAUAUUCCUGCGCGAAUAUCAGUAAUUACUUGUUCUGAUUCUACAUAUUGAUCGUUUUGAACUAAAAGCAAACUUUUGGGUGGAAUAUUCACAUUAUGUAGAAUAUCUUCACUCUCAAUAGUUACAUACAAGUCUAUAGAACAUAGAAAGGCGGGAUGCCCAUGACGUGUACGUAUCGAAUGAACCAAAUCCUCAUUGAAUUUUAUUUUUCCAUUAGAUGGGGCUCGCACAUGUUCUACAGUACCCCCCGUGAAUACUCCUACAGUAUGAAAAGUUCUUAAUAUUAAUUGAGUACCAGGUUCUCCAAUCGAUUGACCUGUAAUAAUACCUACAGCUUCCCCCAACUCAACCAGGUCGCCAUGAGUAGGACUCCGGCCAUAACAUAAUCGACAAAUCCAAGAUGUACUCCUACAAGUAAAGGGAGUUCGAAUAGAGAUUGGUUGUGCCCGAAAGGUUAUGAAUUGAUUUACAAGUCCAAUGCCAAUGUCUUGGUUUCUAGUGGCAAUACAUCGUGAACCCAUGUAUAUAUCAUCUGCUAAUACACGGCCAAUUAAUGUUUGACUAAAAAUCCUUUCCGGCAUCAUCUCAUUCCAAGGACUCACAGAAAUACCCCGGGCGGUGCCACAAUCCAUUCAACGAACAACAAUGUGUUGAACUACUUCAACAAGUCUGCGAGUGAGAUAUCCAGUGUCUGAUGUUCGUACAGCAGUAUCCACAACUCCUUUACGGGCUCCGUAGCAAGAAAUGAUGUAUUCUGUUAAAGAGAGUCCUUCGCACAAAUUGUUUUGAAUAGGUAAAUCAAUCAUUUGUCUUUGAGGAUCUGACAUUAAUCCUCGCAUACCUACUAAUUGAUGUACCUAAGAUGCAUUUCCUCUAGCUCUCAAGAAAGACAUUAUAUGAACUGGAUUAAAAGGGUCAGUCAUCAUAAAUUUCGAAUUCAUUUCUUGUCGCAAAUAUUCACUUGUAGCAUACCAUAUUUCAAUGGAUUGACGUAAUUUUUCUACCGUGUGUACAUUCCCAUAAUGAUGGUGUUUUUUCAAAAUCAAGCUUUGUUGUUCAGCAUCUUGAGCGAGCCAUCCCUUAGAAGGUAUUGUUAAAAGGUCAUCAAUUCCUAAUGAAAUGGAUGUAGCAGUAGCUUGUUGGAACCCCAGAAUUUUUACUUGAUCUAGGAUAUGUGAUAUAUAUGCCAUUCCGAAGUGCUCUAUUAAUCUACUAAUAAGUCAUUUCAUGGAAGUUCCGUCUAUCGCUUUAUUGUGAAAGACCAGAUUGGGCCGUUCUGCCAUAGGUACCUCUAUAUUUCGCUGAGUAGGAUUCGACAAUGGGUUUGAGUCAGUGAUUGUAAAACUUCCUUUUAUCGAUCUUGAUUCACGUAUAAAUUCUGAAACUAUGUACCUAGCUGAACCGAAGAACCCCAAAGUCCCACGGUAUCAUAUAAUUACGUUAGGUACCAUAUGAAUAGGCUCGAGAAAACCCCUAUAUAGCUUCUUUGAUUUCUCGAUAAAGAGCAAUAUGACCAACAGUGGUUUGAAUGUAUAUAAAAAGGAUUUGUUUUUGUAGACUUCUUACUAUUAGAUAGUGUCCAUAAAUCUCAUAAAAGAACCUAAAGAUUCAUAGUGAACUUCGAUGGGAGUUUCUCUUGAAGCAAUAACGCGGUUAUCUAGUCACCACCGGAGCCACAAAGGACUAUCUAAAUUGAUUCGUUUCUGCCGAUAAGCCCAAAUUGCAUCAUAGGAAUUCAAAAAAAGGGGUUCUUUCGUAUACUUAUAGUAACUAUUGUCACUUCUUUUUUGAUUUUGAUAGUUUCUGCAAUUAUAUGGAUUAUAUCUAUUUACACAAAUACCUCGAUGAUUUCCGCUCGUUAAUACAUAGAGUCCAAUAAGCAUAUCUUGGAUUGGUACGAAAAUGGGAUCCCCAAUAGUCGGAGACAAAAGAUUCAUAUGAGAAAACAUGAGUAAACAGGCCUCUACUUGAGCCUCCAAGGAUAACGGUACAUGAACAGCCAUUUUAUCUCCAUCAAAAUCGGCAGUGAAUCCCUUGCAAACUAAUGGAUGUAAGCAAAUAGUGCGCCCCUCCACUAAAAUGGGCUGGAAUGCCUGUAUGCCUAAUCUAUGCAGAGUGGGUGAUCUAUUUAGCAAUACAGGAUGUCCUUGCAUAACUUCUUGAAGGAUUUCCCAUACAAUCGGCUCUUUUUCUCGAAUUUUACUCUUAGCAACUCCUAUGUUUAAAGCAAGAUGUUUUCUAAUUAGACCAUGAAUUACAAAUGUCUGGAAAAGUUCUAUUGCUAUUUCAUGAGGCAAUCCACAUCGAUGUAAUGAAAGUGAAGGACCCACGCCAAUGACAGAACGUCCUGAAUAAUUAACUCAUUUUCCAAGUAGAGUCUCACAAAAUCUUCCCUCUUUGCCUUCAAUUACAUCAGAAAAUGACUUGUAAACUUUAUUAUGACCAUCCCUCAUUGGUUGUGCUCGGAUUCCAUUAUCAAGAAGUGUAUCCACGGCUUCUUGUACUAAUUUCUCCUGACACAUUUCUAAUUCUCCUAGAGUAGAUCUACUUGUUGUUAAUAGAUUGGUAAGGGUAUUGUUCUGAUAGAUAACUCUUCUAUAGAGUUCAUUAAUAUCUGAGCUCAUUAGUUUACCCCCAUCUAUCUGAAUGAUCGAUCUCAACUCAGGAGGAAGAACUGGUAAUAGACACAAAACCAUCAAUUCUGGCUCUAUAUUUGUUCGAAUAAAAUGCUUAGCCAAUUCCACGCAUCUAACCAAAAAGUCCUUUCUUCUUUCAACCUUUCGAUCUUCCCAUUCAUUCCCUGUGUGCCAUUCUUCCCCCAAUUCUUCCCAUUCCACCAACGAAUUCUCUAUAUAAUUCAUAAAUCUAGAUCAACUAAUUGUUCUCAGAUAGCACCUACACCAGUAGAGAUUUGUCGAUUGUGAAAUGUAUCGAAACCCUGGGUAGUAAAAAAAUUGGGAUGCUGUAUUUCCAAAACCUGGUAAAGAGCCGCCCGAUUUGGAUUUGUACAUAUAGGACAAAUGCUCUCAUUACCAUUUCUUUUUGUAUUUCUUUUUUUUUUUCAAUUCAUUUUAUACAAGUAUUUAUUAGAGUUGAGAUAACUUUGCUUGACAAUUAGGAUCUCUUUACAAAUUACAAAAAAAAAAUAUGAAUAGCAAUCAUAGAUAUCUUACCAAUCCAAUUGGGUUUUUUCUAAACGGAGCCUGGAUACUUCAUUUUUUUAGUCCAACCAAGCCAACCAUAAAUUAUUCUAAUUGAUAAUAGUAAUAUGAAUCCUCUCAAAAAUGGAUCUAAUUGCACUUCACGCUCCAAAUUUUUGAUGAUUUAAUUUAUCAUUUUAUCAUUCUUGGGCGAAAUGGGGGAUAUCUCGAUCAGGGGAGAGAACGGGGAAAUACCAUAUAACCCAAUAUAUCUGAUAAGUCGCACUAUAUGUCAACCCAAAGUAGAUUUGCCUCUCCGAGACCUCGAAAGGGAACUUUCGGAACACCAAUAGGCAUUAAAUGAAAGAAAGAACUAAAUACUAUAUUUCACUUUGAGGUGGAAACGUAACAAUUUUUUUACUGUACUUAGAAUAUUCAUAUUAGUUCUUAUCGUAUUUAUUUUAUCCAUAGAUUCUAAAAAUUCAUAAAGAAAGACAGAAUGAAUAAACUCAAAUUAUUACGAAUAGGUCUUUCUAAUGAUAAAUAAGUAUGGACUCAUUCGCUCAUAGAAAAUGAGAUCAACUCCCCCAUUGCGUAUUAGUACUUAUCGAGUAUAGAAUAAAUCUGCUUCUCUUUGUUCCUACGAAUAGAAUUGUUCUAUUAUUACCACCAGAAUAGCACACCCUUGAUUCAAAAAUAAUCGACUGAACAAGAGUGGUCCAUAGGAUAGUCAUAUUAUAGUCUUUUCCAAUGCAAUAAAGUUAUGGAGUAUUUAUUUAUCUUUGAUAUAAGGGGUAUUUCCAUGGGUUUGCCUUGGUAUCGUGUUCAUACCGUUGUAUUGAAUGAUCCCGAUUAGUUGCUUUCUGUUCAUAUAAUAGAUACAGCUCUGGUUGCUGGUUAGGCCGGUUCGAUGGCUCUGUAUGAAUUAGCAUUUUUUAAUCCUUUUGAUCCUGUUCUUGAUCCAAUGUGGAGACAGGGUAUGUUCAUUAUACCCUUCAUGACUCAUUUAGGAAUAACCAAUUCAUGGGGCGGUUGGAGUAUCACAGGGGGGACUAUAAUGAAUUCGGGUAUUUGUAGUUAUGAAGGUGCAGCGGGAGCACAUAUUGUGUUUUCUGGCUUAUGCUUUUUGGCAUCUAUCUGGCAUUGGGUGUAUUGGGAUCUAGAAAUAUUUUGUGAUGAACACACAGGAAAACCCUCUUUGGAUUUGCCAAAGAUCUUUGGAAUUUAUUUAUUUCUCUCAGGGGUAGCUUGCUUUGGUUUUGGUGGAUUUCAUGUAACAGGCUUGUAUGGUCCCAGAAUAUGGGUGUUCGAUCCUUAUGGACUAACGGGAAAAGUAAAACCUAUAAAUCCAGCGUGGGGCAUGGAAAGUUUUGAUCCUUUUGUUCCAGGAGGAAUAGCCUCUCAUCAUAUUGCAGUAGGAACAUUGUGCAUAUUAGCGGGCCUAUUCCAUCUUAGCAUCCAUCCACCACAACGAGUAUACAAAGGAUUGCGUAUGGGAAAUAUUGAAACCAUCCUUUCCAGUAGUAUUGUUGCUAUCUUUUUGUAGCUUUUGUUGUUGUCGGAACUAUGUGGUAUGGUUCGGCAACUACCCCGAUUAAAUUAUUUAGGCCCACUCGUUAUCAAUGGGAUCAGGGGUACUUCCAGCAAGAAAUAUAUCAAAGAGUUAGUGCUGGGCUAGCAGAAAAUCAAAGUUUAUCAGAAGCCUGGCCUAAAAUUCCUGAAAAAAAAUUAGCUUUUUAUGAUUAUAUCGGCAAUAUUCCGGCAAAAGGAGGAUUAUUCAGAGCAGGUUCAAUGGAUAACAGGGAUGGAAUAACGAUUGGAUAGUUAGGACACCCUAUCUUUAGAGAUAAAGAAGGGCGUGAACUUUUUGUACGUCGUAUGCCUACUUUUUUUGAAACAUUUUUGGUCGUUUUAGUAGACGGCGAUGGAAUUGUUAGGGUUAAUGCUCCUUUUAGAAGGGCAGAAUCGAAGUAUAGUGUUGAACAAGUAGGUGUAACUAUUGAGUUCUACAGCGGUGAACUCAACGGCAUCAGUUAUAGUGAUCUUGGUACUGUGAAAAAAUAUGCUAAAUGUGCUCAAUUGGGUGAAAUUUCUGAAUUAGAUCGUGCUACUUUGAAAUCCGAUGGUGUUUUUCAUAGUAGUCCAAGGGUUCAUUUACUUUUGGGCAUGCUUUGUUUGCUUUGCACUUCUUCUUCGGACACAUUUGGCAUGGUGCUAGAACCUUGUUCAGACAUGUUUUUGCUGGUAUUGACCCAAAUUUAGAUGCUCAAGUUGAAUUUGGGGCAUUCCAAAAACUUGGAGAUCCAACUACAAAAAGACAGGCAGCCUGAUACAACAUUGCUUUGGUAUCUUUCUUUUUCCCUUAUUUUCUUUCUUUUACUUUUAUUGACAUAGGGUACCAGAGAAAUCUUUAUUUGAAUCAACUUCGUUUUUACUCUUGUUCGUUCUUUAUCUGGAAGAUGAUAAAAAAAAGAAAAUAAAAAGAAACAAACAGGUAUGAAAGCUAUAAUUGUAAACCACGAUCGAAUCUAUGGAAGCAUUGGUUUAUACAUUCCUCUUAGUCUCGACUCUAGGGAUAAUUUUUUUCGCUAUCUUUUUUCGAGAACCGCCUAAAGUUCCAACUAAAAAGAACUAAAAAGGGGAAUGAAUUUUUCAUUAUCUCAGUUGAAGUACUGACCCUCCCGAUAUCGGGAGGCUUAGUACUUCAACUAAUCUCCAUGUUCCUCGAAUGGAUCUCUUAGUUGUUGAGAAGGUUGCCCAAAAGCGGUAUAUAAGGCAUAUCCAGUAAAACUUACAAGUAAACUAGAUAUAAAGAUGGCGACUAGGGUUGCUGUUUCCAUUCUUAUCAUAUUUAUAUAAUUUCAAGACCCCAAUGGAUUAUGAUAGGAUCAUUUACUUACAACGGAAUGGUAUACAAAGUCAGCAGAUCUCAAUGAAUACUAUAGGAUUUAUGGCUACACAAACUGUUGAGAACAAUUCUAAAUCUGGUCCGAGACGAACUGUAGUAGGAGAUUUAUUAAAACCAUUGAAUUCGGAAUAUGGUAAAAUAGCUCCUGGGUGGGGAACUACUCCUUUGAUGGGUGUCGCAAUGGCCUUAUUUGCGGUAUUUCUAUCUAUUAUUUUGGAGAUUUAUAAUUCUUCCAUUUUAUUGGAUGGAAUUUCGAUGAAUUAGAUCUAUAAGAAUCGCAAAGUCCUUACUUUGGAGUCCAAAAUGAAUCAUUUAGAGCUCCGAUUUAUAGUACAUUCUAUUUUGUUUUGGUAGUUCGAUCGUGGAAUUUCUUUGUUUCUGCACUUUCGGAGUAUGAGUGUGUGACUUGUUAUAAUUGAUCCUAUUGAUAGUACAGAGAAUGAGUCUGUCAUCUUGAUAGAGAUGAUUCUACUUCGUCAGAUAUUUAUUCUAAUAUUUGGAACACGAAAUAGAUUAAGAAAUAUUUGAACUAUGAUUCAUACUUAAUAUUCAGACCCCGUGUCCGGGCUCCAAAAAAUUUUCAAACAAAGAAUUCGAAUUUCUAAAUCGAAAGAUUCUUUUCUUUCAACCCCUAAUUUAUAUUUUGACCAAAAGCAAAACCUUUCUUUGAAUUUUUAGUCAUUCUAUUUAUUCAGGGAAUAAGUGAUGAUCCGAGGAUUCUUACUCAGAGAAUCCUUGAUUUGAUUUAGGUUAGGUUUUUUUUAUUGAAUCAUCGUGGUUCUAGUAUGAAUCUGAGGUUUUAAUCGAUUCAUAGGGUCUUAACAAGAGAAUUCCUAUCAAUAAUAAAGAAAACAAAGAAUAAAAGACAUAUUCCACAAAAACAAAUUCUAGAAAGAAAUAGGGAAAAAGAGAAUUCAAGAGGCCCAUAAGUAUCAAAAUAAAGAUAAAGACGACUGCGCCAACUUGAUAUUUUGGUAUUAUCGCCACAAAGAAGAGCUUUCGGAUUUUCCAGAGAAGAUGGGAUCAGAACUUAAUAACUUUAAAACUUUCUAUUCCAUAUCCGUUACAACUAGUAUUUGGGAGG
rnacentral:lncRNA from 1 species